UGUUUGUUGAACUUGAGUUUGUGUCUUUUUGAACUUGAGUUUGUGGUGUUUUUGAACUUGAGUUUGUGUCGUGUUUGAAGUUUGUGACAACUUAUGAACUUGAGUUUGUUUCGCUUGAUUUUUUGGCAAUUGUUGAACUUGAGUCUUUGGUUUUUAGUGAACUUUAGUUGGUGGCAAUUGUUGAACUUGAGUUUGUGGCGUUUGUUGAACUUGAGUUUGUGGCGUUUGUUGAACUUGAGUUUAUUAUGUUUUUUGAACUUGAGGUUCGGGUGUUUUUGAACUUGAGUUUGUGUGUUUUUUGAACUUGAGGUUGUGGAAAUUGUUAAACUUGAGAAUCGGGUGUUGCUUGAACUUGACUUGUUGUGUUUGUUGAACUUGAGUUUGUGUCGUUUUAGAACUUGAGUUUGUGUGGUGUUUUUGAAGUUGAGUUUGUGGCGUUUGUUGAACUUGAGUUUGUGGCGUGUUUGAACUUGAGUUUGUGGUGUUUUUUGAACUUGAGGUUGUGGAAAUUGUUAAACCUGAGAAUCGGGUGUUGGUUGAACUUGAAACUGUGACAUUUGUUGAACUUGAGUUUGUGGUGUUUGUUGAACUUGAGUUUGUAUCGUGUUUGAACUUAAGCUUGUGGUGUUUGAUGAACUUGAGUUUGUGGCAAUUGUUAACCUUGAGUCUGUAUUUUUCUCUGAACUUUACUUGGUGGCAAUUGUUGAACUUGAGUUUGUGGUGUUUGUUGUACUUGAGUUUGUGGCGUGUUUGAACUUGAGUUUCUGUUGGUUUUGAACUUGAGGUUGUGGAAAUUGUUAAACUUGAGAUUUGGGAUUUGGUUGAACCUGAGUUUGUGAAUCGUGUUUGAACUUGAGUUUGUGGUGUUUUUGAUCUUGAGCUUUUGUGUUUUUUGAACUGAAGUUCGUGGCAAUUGUUAAACUUGUGACUUAGGUGUUGGUUGAACUUGAGUUUGUGGUGUUUUUGAACUUGAGUUUGUGAAGUGUUUGAACUAGAUUUUCUGGUUAUUUUUUAACUUGAGUCUGUGUGUUUUUCUAACUUGAGGUUGUGGAAAUUGUUAAACUUGCGAAGUGGGCAUUGGUUGAACUUGAGUUCGUGUGUUUGUUGAACUUGAGUUUUUGUCAUUUAGAACUUGAGUUUGUGGUGUUUUUGAACUUGAGUUUUUGGCGUUUGUUGAACUUAAGUUUUUGUCGUUUUGAACUUGAGUUUGUGGUGUUUUUGAACUUGAGGUUUUGGCAGAUGUUAAACUUGAUAUUUGGGUGUUGUUUGAACUUGAGUUUUUGUCGUGUUUGAACUUGAGUUUGUGUCGUGUUUGAACUUGAGUUUGUGUCGUGUUUGAACUUGAGGUUGUGGAAAUUGUUAAACGUGAGAAUUGGGUAUUGGUUAAACUUGAGUUUGUGUGUUUGUUGAACCUGAGUUUGUGUCGUGUUUGAACUUGAGAUUUUGCUGUUUUGUGAUCUUGAAUUUGUGUGGUUUUUUUUUUACUUGAGUUUUUGGUGUUUUUGAAUUUGAGUUUCUGUUGUUUUUGAACAUGAGGUUGUGGCAAUUUGUUAAACUUGAGAUUUGGGUGUUGGUUGAAAUUAAGUUUCGGCAUUUUUGAACUUGAGUUUGUGGUGUUUUUGAACUUGAAUUUGUGUGUUUUUUGAACCUGAGUUUGUUGAACUUGAGUUAAUGACAUAUCACGGUUUUCUAUUUCACCUCAUCAACAUACAGAAGAAAGUAAAGAGGUCUUUCAUCGUGUUUGUGCAUUGUCUCUCCAUUUUAACAAACAUUUUUUACAGGCCAAGGGAGCUGCAGUAACAUCCUUUUAUUAAUCAAGUGCGACAAAUUUUAGAGUUUGAUAAGAAAUGAGAAAACUAAUGAUCCACACUGAAAAACGGUCGUGAUUACAAUAAACUUUGAGAUGCUGAUUUUUUUAUUUUAUUUUUUUGCAACUAAAUUACAUUUUUUUUGUCCUUCUGUCUUCUCCCUCUUACUGAACUCCUCAACGCUAUUUCUACUGCGGGCCCUGUUCACUGUUGGCAACUCAGCUGUAAGUUCACAAAUAAAGUAACUUUAAAAUAUAUUUUCACUGUUACUUUUUGCAACACAUUAUCUAAAAACCUGACCUAAAUAACACUUUAUUUUAACUAAUGCAGAACUAAAUGUAAAUAAUUUUGCUGGCUGAUCACAGUUGGAAUUACAAUGCAGUGAGAUGUGCUGGUUUUGUACAAUUAAACUAAAAAUCUCUUGUCUCUGUUUUUCCAUUUUCCUUCUUGCCAACUCGAUACUGUCUCCAAGUGCAGACCGCUUUGUGGCGACUUGACGUAAGUUCACACAGGAAUGACAUUUUCAUGAAUAUUUUUUAUAAUAUUAUAUAUAUAUAUAUAUAUAUAUAUAUAUGUUUAUCCUUCUAAGGUACCUUGCUUGCAUCUGUUGACAGCUCAUGGAGCUGCUUGGCCUCAUUAUAACUUAUUACUUAGUUGGAAAACUGAAAACACAGUAAAGGAAAUUACAUUUCCUAAAAUACAUUAUUAGGGCCCGAGCGUAGCUGCUAAGCAGCUGCGAGAGCCCUAUUAUUCCCCAAGUGGUUUUUCUUUGUUUCUUUUUAGGGCCCGAGCCAGCUGCAGAGCAGCCGGGCGUAGGCCCUAUUAUUCCCCAAGUGGUUUUUCUUUGUUUCUUUCUUUAGGGCCCGAGCGUAGCUGCUAAGCAGCUGCGAGAGCCCUAUUAUUCCCCAAGUGGUUUUUUAGGGCCCGAGCGUAGCUGCUAAGCAGCUGCGAGAGCCCUCUUGUUCCUGUAGUUUCCUUCUUUUGUUAUUAUUAUUUUUCCUCCCCUUUGAACUGGAAAAUGGCCCACUUCCCACUGGCGAAAACUCAUGAAAUUUGGCAGGACGACCGGGCCUGGUGAAAAAUUUGAUAUUCCGAAGUCGCCCAAACAAUAAAAUGCAAAAUGGCUCCAUAGCGCCCCCUAAGGUGAAAAUUCACACUAUUCACUGUCACGCUGGUACGCUUUGUCAAAAUGACACAAAAAUUGACACACACAUGUAUCUCAAUAAGAUCUACAAAAAAGUCAGUGCGGGCGUAUCUGUCAAAUGUACGGUUAAAGGGUUAUUUCGCAUUUUUUGCCGAUCCGCACACAUUGGAAUUUCGCUAACUCCUCCGAAGGCUUUCGUUCCACCGGCACCACAUUUGCUCAGGCCAAUCUACACCCCAUGGCCAUUAAAAGUUAUUCAAAUCAUGACGCUGCACCCCAUGGUUUAGGUUCUAGGGGGCGCCAAAGAUAACCCUAAGAUCCACAUAUUUAAAAGUCUUAUAACUUUUUAUUUUUGCCCUCACUGGCCUCCAAGUUUUCUAGGAUGAUGCAAUGUCCAGCCAUCAACACAUUUGUGAAGGAAUUUUUACUCCCCAAAAGAGCGCCCCCCAUGGCAGGAGAAAAAAGUCCAUUUUUUCUUGUCCCCUAAGGUGAAAAUACACAUUGUUGAGUGUCACGCCUAUACGCUUUGUCAAAAUGACACAAAAAUUGACACACACAUGUAACUCAAUAAGAUCUACGAAAAAGUCAAUGCGUGCGUAUCUGUCAAAUGUACGGUUAAAGGGUUAUUCCGCAUUUUUUGCCGAUCCGCACACAUUGGAAUUUCGCUAACUCCUCCGAAGGCUUUCGUUCCACCGGCACCACAUUUGCUCAGGCCAAUCUACACCCCAUGGCCAUUAAAAGUUAUUCAAAUCAUGACGCUGCACCCCACGGUUUAGGUUCUAGGGGGCGCCAAAGACAACCCUAAAAUCCACAUAUUUAAAAGUCUUAUAACUUUUUAUUUUUGUCCUCACUGGCCUCCAAGUUUUCUAGGAUGAUGCAAUGUCCAGCCAUCAACACAUUUGUGAAGGAAUUUUUACUCCGCAAAAGAGCGCCCAUCCAUGGCAGGAGAAAAAAGUCCAUUUUUUCUUGUCCCCUAAGGUGAAAAUACAUAUUGUUGAGAUUCACGCCUAUACGCUUUGUCAUAUUGACACAAAAUUUGACAAUCAUGUGUAUCUCAAUUAGAUCUACGAAAAAGUCAAAGAGCGCGUAUCUGUAUAAUGUACGGUUAAAGGGCUAUUUUGCAUUUUUUGCCGAUUCGCACACAUUGGAAUGUGGCUAUCUCCUCCUAAGGCUUUCGUCCCACCGAUACCAAAUUUGCUCAGGGCAAUCUACACCCCAUGCCCAUUCAAAGUUGUAAAAAUCAUGACGCUGCACCCCACGGUUUACGUUCUAGGGGGCGCCAAAGAUGACCCAAAAAUCCACAUUCUUAAAAGUCAUUUUGGCCACUGCAGGAGUACAGAGUACUGCAGUUCUAGGGGGCGCCAAAGAUGACCCAAAAAUCCACAUUCUUAAAAGUCUUUUUGGCCACUGCAGGAGUACAGAGUACUGCAGGAUACACACACAUAUACACACACGCCAACAUACACACACACACACACACACACACACACACACACAGACACACACACACACUCAGAGUCUGUUUUUUAGCACCUGCAAAAACAUGCUGUUUACAUAUUUGACAAGAAUGCAGAGGCUUCCUUUUGCCCCUGAAAAAAAUCAAAUUUCAAACACAACUUGACUGGUCAUUUCUCCAAAAGACAACCAUGAAUCAAAUUUCAAACACAACUUGACUGGUCAUUUCUCCAAAAGACAACCAUGAAGCUCCAUCCAAACCUGAAGCAGGCAGUUGGUGCAUGUGUACAGUAACCUGAGGGGAGUGAGGUGACUGCUUCUGAGGAGAACAUGAGCACUGAAGAUUCACCUUGGAGCUAGAACAGGGACGUGCACAUGAUAAUACAGGGGCAGGGGCUCAAGUUUUUUCCAGUCGUUUAUACAAUAUGGAAAUUAAUGUGAAAUUAAAAAACAAAGUAUGACUGUCCUGUGUAGGUGACAGUGAUAUCCAAUAGACUAGGCACUCACGAGGCUGGCUGUGGCAAGUGUAAGUGAAAGCAACACGCACUGGCAGGAAGAACAGCAAACGCCGAUGAAGGAAAAGGGUCUUUGCAGUGAUGGGCGUUACCAGAGAGGGCGAUGGCCAGAGGACACGAAUGGGACGGGGAGGCAGCGCGUUGGGGGGGGGGGGGGGGGGGGGGGCGCGACACGGCUCGGGCCCGCCAGUGCCCCAACGGGGCCCUAGUCUUUGUUUCUUUCUUUCUUCUUUUUCCUCCCCUUUGAACUGGAAAAUGGCCCACUUCCCACUGGCGAAAACUCAUGAAAUUUGGCAGGAUGACCGGGCCUGGUGAAAAAUUUGAUAUUCCGAAGUCGCCCAAACAAGAAAAUGCAAAAUGGCUCCAUAGCGCCCCCUAAGGUGAAAAUUCACACUAUUGACUGUCACGCCUUUACGCUUUGUCAAAAUGACACAAAAAUUGACACACAUAUGUAUCUCAAUAAGAUCUACAAAAAAGUCAGUGCGGGCGUAUCUGUCAAAUGUACGGUUAAAGGGUUAUUUCGCAUUUUUUGCCGAUCCGCACACAUUGGAAUUUCGCUAACUCCUCCGAAGGCUUUCGUUCCACCGGCACCACAUUUGCUCAGGCCAAUCUACACCCCAUGGCCAUUAAAAGUUAUUCAAAUCAUGACGCUGCACCCCACGGUUUAGGUUCUAGGGGGCGCCAAAGAUAACCCUAAAAUCCACAUAUUUAAAAGUCUUAUAACUUUUUAUUUUUGCCCUCACUGGCCUCCAAGUUUUCUAGGAUGAUGCAAUGUCCAGCCAUCAACACAUUUGUGAAGGAAUUUUUACUUCCCAAAAGAGCGCCCCCCCAUGGCAGGAGAAAAAAGUCAAUUUUUUCUUGUCCCGUAAGGUGAAAAUACACAUUGUUGAGUGUCACGCCUGUACGCUUUGUCAAAAUGACACAAAAAUUGACACACACAUGUAUCUCAAUAAGAUCUACAAAAAAGUCCGUGAGCGCGUAUCUGUCAAAUGUAAGGUUAAAGGGUUAUUCCGCAUUUUUUGCCGAUUCGCACACAUUGGAAUUUCGCUAACUCCUCCGAAGGCUUUCGUUCCACCGGCACCACAUUUGCUCAGGCCAAAUUACACCCCAUGGCCAUUAAAAGUUAUUCAAAUCAUGACGCUGCACCCCACGGUUUACGUUCUAGGGGGCGCCAAAGAUAACCCAAAAAUCCACAUUUUUAAAAGUCUUAUAACUUUUUAUUUUUGUCCUCACUGGCCUCCAAGUUUUCUAGGAUGAUGCAAUGUCCAGCCAUCAACACAUUUGUGAAGGAAUUUUUACUCCCUAAAAGAGCGCCCCCCCCAUGGCAGGAGAAAAAAGUCCAUUUUUUCUUGUCCCCUAAGGUGAAAAUACACAUUGUUGACUGUCACGCCUGUACGCUUUGGCAAAAUGACACAAAAAUUGACAAUCAUGUGUAUCUCAAUUAGAUCUACGAAAAAGUCAAAGAGCGCGUAUCUGUAUAAUGUACGGUAAAAGGGCUAUUUUGCAUUUUUUGCCGAUUCGCACACAUUGGAAUUUCGCUAACUCCUCCUAAGGCUUUCGUCCCACUGACACCAAAUUUGCUCAGGCCAAUCUACACUCCAUGGCCAUUCAAAGUUGUAAAAAUCAUGAUGACCCAAAUAUACAUUACAGUAGACAAAGUAGUUUUGCCCACUGAGUGGCGCCAAAGGGACUUGUCUGUGGAGUCUGUGAGUCACUAUUGGCCGUUUUUGACUACUUUAGAUUUUACCUUUAUAUUUCCUCUUACAAAAUUUUUACCUUGCCUUGCCUGGUAUCAUUUUUUUCAGCACAACCUCACCUGUGUCAAUUUACAGUUAUUUUAUCAUUUUGACAUACUAUAUUUACACAUUGGACCCAAAUUCACACACAAAACAUAAAAUCCGAGUGGAAAAAAGUAACGUUUUUACUGUGAAAACCACAAAUAUGUGUGAUGAACUGUUUUUAAAACUUAAACUUCAAAUAAAAAUUGUAAACUUCAAAACAUAUGCAAAUUUUUAACAAAGAACAUAGUAAUUUACCUCUAUUUACAUCAAAAUGCAGGCAAUGGCCCAGGUGUUCUUUGUAAAAUUAUUUACAAAACACUGUAUAGUCUCACAAAUGUCACUUUUUAUUUAUGCCACUACAAAAAAACAUGAUGUAAAUGAUGCAUGAUGUAAAACAUGAUGUAAAAAACUUGUGUAGAUCCUCCUCUAUGUUAGUCCAUGUGUAAUUUUUCCAUAAUUCUUUGUUUUUUGCAGCAUUUUUGUUAGUGUAACUGCAGAUUGUGCUGACAGUGUCUAUGGCACAAAAAAAAAAAAAAACUGAAAAUGCCUCAACAUGAACCCCUGGUGGUCUCUGAGGGUGAAACCUGCUAACUGCUGCAGCUCUGUCAGCUUCAGUCUCCCAUGCAGAGCUCGGAGCGCAUGUGUGGCUCUGCACCCUUAGCAGCGUUGCUAACUCCUCAGUAAGGAAAGCCUGCUUCAUGUCAGAGUCUCUAAACUCCAGAAGAAGUCGAUAAAAGUCACUUUCUUUCUAAAAAAAAGUCGUUAGGGGGUCUGAAAAGUCAUUGAAUCUAACAACAAAGUCGCUAGGUUUGCAACUACGUGUCCCAGACUGCAUCCCUGCUGAGAGUCCCUCCCUCCCUUCUCAUAUUGCAGGAAGAACGUAAGCGCCCGCCCCUUGUCAAUCAGUCACCAUAUAAUUUUGGAUUGGUUGUUGUGGUGAAGUUUUCCACCAAUAGGAGAGAUGUUGUGGUGUGCUUUUUUUUUCCUUUGGCAAGCCUUUUCCGCCUGUAAGACCUGUCGCUAAUGUCUGCAUGCUAUGUUUUCCUGUCUCAUACAGCGCGAUCGAGCGCCGACCGUGAUCAAAAUAAGCAGAAAACAAGUAUCGCGGACAUAAUUUAUCAUAACUCUGGUUUUAUUUGGCCUAUCAACACAAUUUAAAAACUGGUAUAUAGGUUGAGGUCAUCACUUUUGAGAUAAGUUGAAACGGAGAGUCAACGAGGCUCCGUCUUGCAGCUACAUCCGGUUAAAUAUGUCAUGUGACUUGAACGCACACACACACACACACACAGACACACACACACACGCACACACACACACUCAGAGUCUGGUUUUUAGCACCUGCAAAAACAUGCUAUUUACAUAUUUGACAAGAAUGCAGAGGCUCCUUUUGCCCCUGAAAAAAAUCAAAUUUCAAACACAACUUGACUGGUCAUUUCUCCAAAAGACAACCAUGAAGCUCCAUCCAAACCUGAAGCAGGCAGUUGGUGCAUGUGUACAGUAACCUGAGGGGAGUGAGGUGACUGCUUCUGAGGAGAACAUGAGCAGUGAAGAUUCACCUUAGAGCUAGAACAGAGACGUGCACAUGAUUAUACAGGGGCAGGGGCUCAAGUUUUUUCCAGUUGUUUAUACAAUAUGGAAAUUAAUGUGAAAUUAAAAAACAAAGUAUUAAUAGAAAGGUAAUGACUGUCCUGUGUAGGUGACAGUGAUAUCCAAUAGGCUAGGCACUCACGAGGCUGGCUGUGGCAAGUGUAAGUGAAAGCAACACGCACUGGCAGGAAGAACAGCAAACGCCGAUGAAGGAAAAGGGUCUUUGCAGUGAUGGGCGUUACCAGAGAGGGCGAUGGCCAGAGGACGCGAAUGGGACGGGGAGGCGGUCGCGCUGGGGGCGGCGCGACGCGGCUCGGGCCCGACAGUGCCCCACCGGGGCCCUAGUUCUUUCUUUAGGGCCCGAGCCAGCUGCAGAGCAGCCGGGCGUAGGCCCUAUUAUUCCCCAAGUGGUUUUUCUUUGUUUCUUUCUUUCUUUUUAGGGCCCGAGCGUAGCUGCUAAGCAGCUGCGAGAGCCCUAUUAUUCCUGAUGGAUUCUUCUUUCUUCUUCUUCUUCUUAUUAUUUUUCUGCCCCUUUGAACUGGAAAAUGGCCCACUUCCCACUGGUGAAAAGUCAUGAAAUUUGGCAGGACGACCGGGCCUGGUGAAAAAUUCGAUAUUCUGAAGUCGCCCAAACAAUAAAAUGCAAAAUGGCUCCAUAGCGCCCCCUAAGGUGAAAAUUCACACUAUUGACUAUCACGCCUGUACGCUUUGUCAUAUUGACACAAAAAUUGACACACACAUGUAUCUCAAUAAGAUCUACAAAAAAGUCAGUGCGGGCGUAUCUGUCAAAUGUACGGUUAAAGGGUUAUUUUGCAUUUUUUGCAGAUCCGCACACAUUGGAAUUUCGCUAACUCCUCCGAAGGCUUUCGUUCCACCGGCACCACAUUUGCUCAGGCCAAUCUACACUCCAUGGCCAUUCAAAGUUGUACAAAUCAUAAUGCUGCACCCCAUGGUUUAGGUUCUAGGGGGCGCCAAAAAUAACCCAAAAAUCCACAUUCUUAAAAGUUUUAUAAAUUUUUUUUUUUGUCCUCACUGGCCUCCAAGUUUUCUAGGAUGAUGCAAUGUCCAGCCAUCAACACAUUUGUGAAGGAAUUUUUACUCCCCAAAAGAGCGCCCCCCCAUGGCAGGACAAAAAAGUCCAUUUUUUCUUGUCCCAUAAGGUGAAAAUUCACACUAUUGACUGUCACGCCUGUACGCUUUGUCAUAUUGACACAAAAAUUGACACACACAUGUAUCUCAAUAAGGUCUACAAAAAAGUCAGUGCAGGCGUAUCUGUCAAAUGUACGGUUAAAGGGUUAUUUCGCAUUUUUUGCCGUUCCGCACACAUUGGAAUUUCGCUAACUCCUCCGAAGGCUUUCGUUCCACCGGCACUACAUUUGCUCAGGCCAAUCUACACCCCAUGGCCAUUCAAAGUUGUACAAAUCAUGACGCUGCACCCCACGGUUUACGUUCUAGGGGGCGCCAAAGAUAACCCACAAAUCCACAUUCUUAAAAAUCUUAUAACUUUUUAUUUUUGUCCUCAUUGGCCUCCAAGUUUUCUAGGAUGAUGCAAUGUCCAGCCAUCAACACAUUUGUGAAGGAAUUUUUACUCCCCAAAACAGCGCCCCCCCCAUGGCAGGACAAAAAAGGCCAUUUUUUCUUGUCCCCUAAGGUGAAAAUAAACAUUGUUCAGUGUCACGCCUGUACGCUUUGUCAUAUUGACACAAAAUUUGACACACACGUGUAUCUCAAUAAGAUCUACGAAAAAGUCAAUGGGCACAUAUCUGUAAAAUGUACGGUUAAAGGGCUAUCUUGCAUUUUUUGCCGAUUUUCACACAUUGGAAUGUGGCUAACUCCUCCUAAGGCUUUCGUUCUACUGACACCAAAUUUGCUCAGGCCAAUCUACACCCCAUGGCCAUUCAAAGUUGUACAAAUCAUGACGCUGCACCCCACGGUUUAGGUUUUAGGGGGCGCCAAAGAUGACCCAAAUAUCCACAUUUUUAAAAGUCUUAUAACUUUUUAUUUUUGUCCUCACUGGCCUCCAAGUUUUCUAGGAUGAUGCAAUGUGCAGCCAUCAACACAUCUGUGAAGGAAUUUUUUCUCCCCAAAAGAGCGCCCCCCCCAAUGGCAGGAGAAAAAGUCAAGUUUUUCCAGCCCAUCGCUUAAUGGCUCAAACGCAUUGCUCUCCCGCUAAAACCAAAAGGAGGAGCAACUUGCCAUUUGGAUAUGUCCUAGCUGUGUUUGUGCCCUCACUCAUGGUCCAGAGUUUUUUCAAAUAGGACAUGUAGUUUGUCUGCAGCGAGUGUUUUGGUAGAAACUGUGCCUCCCAUUCAUUAUAAUGGGAAAUGACCAAAGACAGGUGCGCACACCAUCUUUGGACCUUGACUUUGACGUCACAGUUUGAGAUACAAAUGUUAUUUGACCUCUGACCUUUGGUGGACACCCUAACCUUUCAACCCGCGAAAACGGCGUUUCAAUAGCUCUUACGGCUUUCCUACAAAUACACUUUGUUCAGCUACUCCUACUGUCCUUUAAGCUCUGCUUCUCAGAUCAUCAAAGAGUGUGCACGUGUGUAAUGAGCGCAUAUUGAAUGUUAAUUAUGUUAAAUAUGUUAAUUAUUAGAAGAAAAAACAACAACAGUCCUUUUGGACAAAAUUUCUUUUUAUUACAGAAUUAGAAUAAUGGAAGCAUAGUCCAAGGAAACCAUUCAAGUGAUGUCAUACCUCAUAAUUUAUUGAGAUGUUGGCUAGUCUGGGCAUUUCUUCAUUCAUCAGGUUUCCUGCAUGCAUACUAACAGAGCACAUCAGUAGCAGUGAGUGAUAAGUAUGAGUGUGUCAUUGUGUAAGAAAGAAAGUGGUUUACUUACACAUCCAUAGAAAAUAGGUGGUUGAGCACAGCACGCAAACAAAGCUUUGCCACAACGGUUGAACUUCCCAAGUAGCUGAUACCAAGGUCACACAAUCAUGGUGAGCAAAGGUCAAACCAGGCCAGGCACUCACGAGGCUGGCUGUGGCAAGUGUAAGUGAAAGCAACACGCAAUGGCAGGAAGAACAGCAAACACCGAUGAAGGAAAAGGGUCUUUGCAGUGAUGGGCGUCACCAGAGAGGGCGAUGGCCAGAGGGCACGAAUGGGACGGGGAGGCGGUCGCGCUGGGGGCGGCGCGACCCGGCUCGGGCCCGACAGUGCCCCAACGGGGCCCUAGUUAUUAUUUUUCCUCCCCUUUGAACUGGAAAAUGGCCCACUUCCCACGGGCGAAAACUCAUGAAAUUUGGCAGGACGAACGGGCCUGGUGAAAAAUUUGAUAUUCCGAAGUCGCCCAAACAAGAAAAUGCAAAAUGGCUCCAUAGCGCCCCCUAAGGUGAAAAUUCACACUAUUGACUGUCACGCGUGUACGCUUUGUCAAAAUGACACAAAAAUUGACACACACAUGUAUCUCAAUAAGAUCUACAAAAAAGUCAGUGCGGGCGUAUCUGUCAAAUGUACGGUUAAAGGGUUAUUUCGCAUUUUUUGCCGAUCCGCACACAUUGGAAUUUCGCUAACUCCUCCGAAGGCUUUCGUUCCACCGGCACCACAUUUGCUCAGGCCAAUCUACACCCCAUGGCCAUUCAAAGUUAUUCAAAUCAUGACGCUGCACCCCACGGUUUAGGUUCUAGGGGGCGCCAAAUAUAACCCUAAGAUCCACAUAUUUAAAAGUCUUAUAACUUUUUAUUUUUGCCCUCACUGGCCUCCAAGUUUUCUAGGAUGAUGCAAUGUCCAGCCAUCAACACAUUUGUGAAGGAAUUUUUACUCCCCAAAAGAGCGCCCCCCCAUGGCAGGAGAAAAAAGUCCAUUUUUUCUUGCCCCCUAAGGUGAAAAUACACAUUGUUGAGUGUAACACCUGUACGCUUUGGCAAAAUGACACAAAAAUUGACACACACAUGUAUCUCAAUAAAAUCUACGAAAAAGUCAAUGCGCGCGUAUCUGUCAAAUGUACGGUUAAAGGGUUAUUCCGCAUUUUUUGCCGAUCCGCACACAUUGGAAUUUCGCUAACUCCUCCGAAGGCUUUCGUUCCACCGGCACCACAUUUGCUCAGGCCAAUCUACACCCCAUGGCCAUUAAAAGUUAUUCAAAUCAUGACGCUGCACCCCACGGUUUAGGUUCUAGGGGGCGCCAAAGAUAACCCUAAAAUCCACAUAUUUAAAAGUCUUAUAACUUUUUAUUUUUGUCCUCACUGGCCUCCAAGUUUUCUAGGAUGAUGCAAUGUCCAGCCAUCAACACAUUUGUGAAGGAAUUUUUACUCCCCAAAAGAGCGCCCCCCCAUGGCAGGAGAAAAAAGUCAAUUUUUUCUUGUCCCCUAAGGUGGAAAUUCACACUAUUGACUGUCACGCCUGUACGCUUUAUCAUAUUGACACAAAAAUUGACACACAUAUGUAUCUCAAUAAGAUCUACAAAAAAGUCAAUGCGCGCGUAUCUGUCAAAUGUACGGUUAAAGGGUUAUUUUCCAUUUUUUGCCGAUUCGCACACAUUGGAAUGUGGCUAACUCCUCCUAAGGCUUUCGUCCCACUGACACCAAAUUUGCUCAGGCCAAUCUACACCCCAUGGCCAUUCAAAGUUGUAAAAAUCAUGACGCUGCACCCCACGGUUUACGUUCUAGGGGGCGCCAAAGAUGACCCAAAAAUCCACAUUCUUAAAGGAAUCCACAUCCCCCCCCCCCCCCCCCCCAAGGCAGGAGAAAAAGUCAAGUUAACCCUGCCCAUCGCUCAAUGGCUCAAUCGCAUCGCUCUCCAGGCAACACCGUAAGGAGGAGCAACCUGCCAUUUCGAUAUAUCAUAGCUGUGUUUGUGCCCUCACUCAUGGUCCAGACUUUUUUCAAAUAGGACAUGAAGUUUGUCUGCAGCGAGUAUUUUGGUAGAAACUGCGCCUCCCAUUCAUUAUAAUGGGAAAUGACCACAGACAAGUGCGCACACCAUCUUUGGACCUUGAGUGUGACGCGAUCGGGAGGGGGAGGCGGUCGCGCUGGGGGCAGCGCGACGCGGCUCGGGCCCGACAGUGCCCCACCGGGGCCCUAGUUUCUUUUUCCUCCCCUUUGAACUGGAAAAUGGCCCACUUCCCACUGGCGAAAACUCAUGAAAUUUUGCAGGACGACCGGGCCUGGUGAAAAAUUUGAUAUUCUGAAGUCGCCCAAACAAUAAAAUGCAAAAUGGCUCCAUAGCGCCCCCUAAGGUAGAAAUUCACACUAUUGACUGUCACGCCUGUACGCUUUGUCAUAUUGACACAAAAAUUGACACACAUAUGUAUCUCAAUAAGAUCUACAAAAAAGUUAGUGCGGCCGUAUCUGUCAAAAUUACGGUUAAAGGGUUAUUUCGCAUUUUUUUCCGAUCCGCACACAUUGGAAUUUCGCUAACUCCUCCGAAGGCUUUCGUUCCACCGGCACCACAUUUGCUCAGGCCAAUCUACACCCCGUGGCCAUUAAAAGUUAUCAAAAUCAUGACGCUGCAACCCAAGGUUUAGGUUCUAGGGGGCGCCAAAGAUAACACUAAAAUCCACAUAUUUAAAAGUCUUAUAACUUUUUAUUUUUGUCCUCACUGGCCUCCAAGUUUUCUAGGAUGAUGCAAUGUCCAGCCAUCAACACAUUUGUGAAGGAAUUUUUACUCCCCAAAAGAGCGCCCCCCCAUGGCAGGAGAAAAAAGUCCAUUUUUUCUUGUCCCCUAAGGUGAAAAUACACAUUGUUGAGUGUCACGCCUAUACGCUUUGUCAAAAUGACACAAAAAUUGACACACACAUGUAACUCAAUAAGAUCUACAAAAAAGUCCAUGCGCGCGUAUCUGUCAAAUGUACAGUUAAAGGGUUAUUCCGCAUUUUUUGCCGAUACGCACACAUUGGAAUUUCGCUAACUCCUCCGAAGGCUUUCGUUCCACCGGCACCACAUUUGCUCAGGCCAAUCUACACCCCAUGGCCAUUAAAAGUUAUUCAAAUCAUGAUGCUGCACCCCAUGGUUUAGGUUCUAGGGGGCGCCAAAAAUAACCCAAAAAUCCACAUUCUUAAAUGUUUUAUAACUUUUUAUUUUUGUCCUCACUGGCCUCCAAGUUUUCUAGGAUGAUGCAAUGUCCAGCCAUCAACACAUUUGUGAAGGAAUUUUUACUCCCCAAAAGAGCGCCCCCCCAUGGUAGGAGAAAAAAGUCAAUUUUUUCUUGUCCCCUUACAUGAAAAUACACAUUGUUGAGUGUCACGCCUGAACGCUAUGUCAUAUUGACACAAAAAUUGACAAUCAUGUGUAUCUCAAUUAGAUCUACGAAAAAGUCAAAGAGCGCGUAUCUGUAUAAUGUACGGUUAAAGGGCUAUUUUGCAUUUUUUGCCGAUUCGCACACAUUGGAAUGUGGCUAUCUCCUCCUAAGGCUUUCGUCCCACCGAUACCAAAUUUGCUCAGGGCAAUCUACACCCCAUGCCCAUUCAAAGUUGUAAAAAUCAUGACGCUGCACCCCACGGUUUACGUUCUAGGGGGCGCCAAAGAUGACCCAAAAAUCCACAUUCUUAAAAGUCAUUUUGGCCACUGCAGGAGUACAGAGUACUGCAGUUCUAGGGGGCGCCAAAGAUGACCCAAAAAUCCACAUUCUUAAAAGUCUUUUUGGCCACUGCAGGAGUACAGAGUACUGCAGGAUACACACACAUAUACACACACGCCAACAUACACACACACACACACACACACACACACACACACACACACACACACACACACACACACUCAGAGUCUGUUUUUUAGCACCUGCAAAAACAUGCUGUUUACAUAUUUGACAAGAAUGCAGAGGUUUCCUUUUGCCCCUGAAAAAAAUCAAAUUUCAAACACAACUUGACUGUUCAUUUCUCCAAAAGACAACCAUGAAGCUCCAUUUCAAACCUGAAGCAGAUAGUUGGUGCAUGUGUACAGUAACCUGAGGGGAGUGAGGUGACUAUUUCUGAGGAGAACAUGAGCAGUGAAGAUUCACCUUGGAGCUAGAACAGGGACGUGCACAUGAUUAUACAGGGGCAGGGGCUCAAGUUUUUUCCAGUCAUUUAUACAAUAUGGAAAUUAAUGUGAAAUUAAACCACAAAUAUGUGUGAUGAACUGUUUUUAAAACUUAAACUUCAAAUAAAAAUUGUAAACUUCAAAACAUAUGCAAAUUUUUAACAAAGAACAUAGUAAUUUACCUCUAUUUACAUCAAAAUGCAGGCAAUGGCCCAGGCGUUCUUUGUAAAAUUAUUUACAAAACACUGUAUAGUCUCACAAAUGUCACUUUUUAUUUAUGCCACUACAAAAAAACAUGAUGUAAAUGAUGCAUGAUGUAAAACAUGAUGUAAAAAACUUGUGUAGAUCCUCCUCUAUGUCAGUCCAUGUGUAAUUUUUCCAUAAUUCUUUGUUUUUUGCAGCAUUUUUGUUAGUGUAACUGCAGAUUGUGCUGACAGUGUCUAUGGCACAAAAAAAAAAAAAACUGAAAAUGCCUCAACAUGAACCCCUGGUGGUCUCUGAGGGUGAAACCUGCUAACUGCUGCAGCUCUGUCAGCUUCAGUCUCCCAUGCAGAGCUCUGAGCGCAUGUGUGGCUCUGCACCCUUAGCAGCGUUGCUAACUCCUCAGUAAGGAAAGCCUGCUUCAUGUCAGAGUCUCUAAACUCCAGAAGAAGUCGAUAAAAGUCCCUUUCUUUCUAAAAAAAAGUCGUUAGGGGGUCUGAAAAGUCAUUGAAUCUAACAACAAAGUCGCUAGGUUUGCAACUACGUGUCCCAGACUGCAUCCCUGCUGAGAGUCCCUCCCUCCCUUCUCAUAUUGCAGGAAGAACGUAAGUUCCCGCCCCUUGUCAAUCAGUCACCAUAUAAUUUUGGAUUGGUUGUUGUGGUGAAGUUUUCCACCAAUAGGAGAGAUGUUGUGGUGUGUUUUUUUUUUCUUUUGGCAAGCCUUUUCCGCCUGUAAGACCUGUCGCUAAUGUCUGCAUGCUAUGUUUUCCUGUCACAUACAGCGCGAUCGAGCGCCGAGCGUGAUCAAAAUAAGCAGAAAAAAAGUAUCGCGGACAUAAUUUAUCAUAACUCUGGUUUUAUUUGGCCUAUCAACACAAUUUAAAAACUGGUAUAUAGGUUGAGGUCCUCACUUUUGAGAUAAGUUGAAACGGAGAGUCAACAAGGCUCCGUCUUGCAGCUACAUCCGGUUAAAUAUGUCAUGUGACUUGAACGCACACACAGACACACACACGCACACACACACACACACACACACACACACACACACUCAGAGUCUGGUUUUUAGCACCUGCAAAAACAUGCUAUUUACAUAUUUGACAAGAAUGCAGAGGCUCCUUUUGCCCCUGAAAAAAAUCAAAUUUCAAACACAACUUGACUGGUCAUUUCUCCAAAAGACAACCAUGAAGCUCCAUCCAAACCUGAAGCAGGCAGUUGGUGCAUGUGUACAGUAACCUGAGGGGAGUGAGGUGAGUGCUUCUGAGGAGAACAUGAGCAGUGAAGAUUCACCUUGGAGCUAGAACAGAGACAUGCACAUGAUUAUACAGGGGCAGGGGCUCAAGUUUUUUCCAGUCGUUUAUACAAUAUGGAAAUUAAUGUGAAAUUAAAACACAAAGUAUUAAUAGAAAGGUAAUGACUGUCCUGUGUAGGUGACAGUGAUAUCCAAUAAGCUAGGCACUCACGAGGCUGGCUGUGGCAAGUGUAAGUGAAAGCAACACGCACUGGCAGGAAGAACAGCAAACGCCGAUGAAGGAAAAGGGUCUUUGCAGUGAUGGGCGUUAACAGAGAGGGCGAUGGCCAGAGGACACAAAUGGGACGGGGAGGCAGCACGUUGGGGGGGGGGGGAGACGCGACACGGCUCGGGCCCGCCAGUGCCCCAACGGGGUCCUAGUUAGGGCCCGAGCCAGCUGCAGAGCAGCCGGGCGUAGGCCCUAUUAUUCCCCAAGUGGUUUUUCUUUGUUUCUUUCUUUCUUUUUUCUUUUUCCUCCCCUUUGAACUGGAAAAUGGCCCACUUCCCACUGGCGAAAACUCAUGAAAUUUGGCAGGACGACCGGGCCUGGUGAAAAAUUUGAUAUUCUGAAGUCGCCCAAACAAUAAAAUGCAAAAUGGCUCCAUAGCGCCCCCUAAGGUGAAAAUUCACACUAUUGACUGUCACGCCUGUACGCUUUGUCAUAUUGACACAAAAAUUGACACACAUAUGUAUCUCAAUAAGAUCUACAAAAAAGUCAGUGCGGCCGUAUCUGUCAAAAUUACGGUUAAAGGGUUAUUUCGCAUUUUUUGCCGAUCCGCACACAUUGGAAUUUCGCUAACUCCUCCGAAGGCUUUCGUUCCACCGGCACCACAUUUGCUCAGGCCAAUCUACACCCCGUGGCCAUUAAAAGUUAUCAAAAUCAUGACGCUGCACCCCAAGGUUUAGGUUCUAGGGGGCGCCAAAGAUAACACUAAAAUCCACAUAUUUAAAAGUCUUAUAACUUUUUAUUUUUGUCCUCACUGGCCUCCAAGUUUUCUAGGAUGAUGCAAUGUCCAGCCAUCAACACAUUUGUGAAGGAAUUUUUACUCCCCAAAAGAGCGCCCCCCCAUGGCAGGAGAAAAAAGUCCAUUUUUUCUUGUCCCCUAAGGUGAAAAUACACAUUGUUGAGUGUCACGCCUAUACGCUUUGUCAAAAUGACACAAAAAUUGACACACACAUGUAACUCAAUAAGAUCUACGAAAAAGUCAAUGCGCGCGUAUCUGUCAAAUGUACGGUUAAAGGGUUAUUCCGCAUUUUUUGCCGAUCCGCACACAUUGGAAUUUCGCUAACUCCUCCUAAGGCUUUCGUUCCACCGGCACCACAUUUGCUCAGGCCAAUCUACACCCCAUGGCCAUUAAAAGUUAUCAAAAUCAUGACGCUGCACCCCACGGUUUAGGUUCUAGGGGGCGCCAAAGAUAACCCUAAAAUCCACAUAUUUAAAAGUCUUAUAACUUUUUAUUUUUGUCCUCACUGGCCUCCAAGUUUUCUAGGAUGAUGCAAUGUCCAGCCAUCAACACAUUUGUGAAGGAAUUUUUACUCCCCAAAAGAGCGCCCCCCCAUGGCAGGAGAAAAAAGUCCAUUUUUUCUUGUCCUCUAAGGUGAAAAUACAUAUUGUUGAGAUUCACGCCUAUACGCUUUGUCAUAUUGACACAAAAUUUGACAAUCACGUGCCUUGCCUGGUAUCAUUUUUUUCAGCACAACCUCACCUGUGCGAAUUUACAGUUAUUUUAUCAUGUUGACAUACUGAAUUUACACAAUGGACCCAAAUUCACACACAAAACAUAAAAUCCGAGUGGAAAAAAGUAACAUUUUUACUGUGAAAACCACAAAUAUGUGUGAUGAACUGUUUUUAAAACUUAAACUUCAAAUAAAAAUUGUAAACUUCAAAACAUAUGCAAAUUUUUAACAAAGAACAUAGUGAUUUACCUCUAUUUACAUCAAAAUGCAGGCAAUGGCCCAGGCGUUCUUUGUAAAAUUAUUUACAAAACACUGUAUAGUCUCACAAAUGUCACUUUUUAUUUAUGCCACUACAAAAAAACAUGAUGUAAAUGAUGCAUGAUGUAAAACAUGAUGUAAAAAACUUGUGUAGAUCCUCCUCUAUGUCAGUCCAUGUGUAAUUUUUCCAUAAUUCUUUGUUUUUUGCAGCAUUUUUGUUAGUGUAACUGCAGAUUGUGCUGACAGUGUCUAUGGCACAAAAAAAAAUAAAUAAAUUAAAAUGCCUCAACAUGAACCCCUGGUGGUCUCUGAGGGUGAAACCUGCUAACUGCUGCAGCUCUGUCAGCUUCAGUCUCCCAUGCAGAGCUCUGAGCGCAUGUGUGGCUCUGCACCCUUAGCAGCGUUGCUAACUCCUCAGUAAGGAAAGCCUGCUUCAUGUCAGAGUCUCUAAACUCCAGAAGAAGUCGAUAAAAGUCCCUUUCUUUCUAAAAAAAAGUCGUUAGGGGGUCUGAAAAGUCAUUGAAUCUAACAACAAAGUCGCUAGGUUUGCAACUACGUGUCCCAGACUGCAUCCCUGCUGAGAGUCCCUCCCUCCCUUCUCAUGUUGCAGGAAGAACGUAAGCGCCCCCCUUGUCAAUCAGUCACCAUAUAAUUUUGGAUUGGUUGUUGUGGUGAAGUUUUCCACCAAUAGGAGAGAUGUUGUGGUGUGUUUUUUUUUUCUUUUGGCAAGCCUUUUCCGCCUGUAAGAGCUGUCGCUAAUGUCUGCAUGCUAUGUUUUCCUGUCUCAUACAGCGCGAUCGAGCGCCGAACGUGAUCAAAAUAAGCAGAAAAAAAGUAUCGCGGACAUAAUUUAUCAUAACUCUGGUUUUAUUUGGCCUAUCAACACAAUUUAAAAACUGGUAUAUAGGUUGAGGUCCUCACUUUUGAGAUAAGUUGAAACGGAGAGUCAACGAGGCUCCGUCUUGCAGCUACAUCCGGUUAAAUAUGUCAUGUGACUUGAACGCACACACAGACACACACACACGCACACACACACACACACACACACACACUCAGAGUCUGGUUUUUAGCACCUGCAAAAACAUGCUAUUUACAUAUUUGACAAGAAUGCAGAGGCUCCUUUUGCCCCUGAAAAAAAUCAAAUUUCAAACACAACUUGACUGGUCAUUUCUCCAAAAGACAACCAUGAAGCUCCAUCCAAACCUGAAGCAGGCAGUUGGUGCAUGUGUACAGUAACCUGAGGGGAGUGAGGUGAGUGCUUCUGAGGAGAACAUGAGCAGUGAAGAUUCACCUUGGAGCUAGAACAGAGACAUGCACAUGAUUAUACAGGGGCAGGGGCUCAAGUUUUUUCCAGUCGUUUAUACAAUAUGGAAAUUAAUGUGAAAUUAAAACACAAAGUAUUAAUAGAAAGGUAAUGACUGUCCUGUGUAGGUGACAGUGAUAUCCAAUAGGCUAGGCACUCACGAGGCUGGCUGUGGCAAGUGUAAGUGAAAGCAACACGCACUGGCAGGAAGAACAGCAAACGCAGAUGAAGGAAAAGGGUCUUUGCAGUGAUGGGCGUUACCAGAGAGAGCGAUGGCCAGAGGACACAAAUGGGACGGGGAGGCAGCACGUUGGGGGGGGGGGGGACGCGACACGGCUCGGGCCCGCCAGUGCCCCAACGGGGUCCUAGUUAGGGCCCGAGCCAGCUGCAGAGCAGCCGGGCGUAGGCCCUGUUAUUCCUGUAGGGGUUUUUCUUUGUUUCUUUCUUUCUUCUUUUUCCUCCCCUUUGAACUGGAAAAUGGCCCACUUCCCACUGGCGAAAACUCAGGAAAUUUGGCAGGACGACCGGGCCUGGUGAAAAAUUUGAUAUUCCAAAGUCGCCCAAACAAGAAAAUGCAAAAUGGCUCCAUAGCGCCCCCUAAGGUGAAAAUUCACACUAUUGACUGUCACGCCUGUACGCUUUGUCAAAAUGACACAAAAAUUGACACACACAUGUAUCUCAAUAAGAUCUACAAAAAAGUCAGUGCGGGCGUAUCUGUCAAAUGUACGGUUAAAGGGUUAUUCCGCAUUUUUUGCCGAUCCGCACACAUUGGAAUUUCGCUAACUCCUCCUAAGGCUUUCGUUCCACCGGCACCACAUUUGCUCAGGCCAAUCUACACCCCAUGGCCAUUAAAAGUUAUCAAAAUCAUGACGCUGCACCCCACGGUUUAGGUUCUAGGGGGCGCCAAAGAUAACCCUAAAAUCCACAUAUUUAAAAGUCUUAUAACUUUUUAUUUUUGUCCUCACUGGCCUCCAAGUUUUCUAGGAUGAUGCAAUGUCCAGCCAUCAACACAUUUGUGAAGGAAUUUUUACUCCCCAAAAGAGCGCCCCCCCAUGGCAGGAGAAAAAAGUCCAUUUUUUCUUGUCCCCUAAGGUGAAAAUACACAUUGUUGAGUGUCACGCCUAUACGCUUUGUCAAAAUGACACAAAAAUUGACACACACAUGUAACUCAAUAAGAUCUACGAAAAAGUCAAUGCGCGCAUAUCUGUCAAAUGUACGGUUAAAGGGUUAUUCCGCAUUUUUUGCCGAUCCGCACACAUUGGAAUUUCGCUAACUCCUCCUAAGGCUUUCGUUCCACCGGCACCACAUUUGCUCAGGCCAAUCUACACCCCAUGGCCAUUAAAAGUUAUCAAAAUCAUGACGCUGCACCCCACGGUUUAGGUUCUAGGGGGCGCCAAAGAUAACCCUAAAAUCCACAUAUUUAAAAGUCUUAUAACUUUUUAUUUCUGUCCUCACUGGCCUCCAAGUUUUCUAGGAUGAUGCAAUGUCCAGCCAUCAACACAUUUGUGAAGGAAUUUUUACUCCCCAAAAGAGCGCCCCCCAUGGCAGGAGAAAAAAGUCCAUUUUUUCUUGUCCUCUAAGGUGAAAAUACAUAUUGUUGAGAUUCACGCCUAUACGCUUUGUCAUAUUGACACAACAUUUGACAAUCACGUGCCUUGCCUGGUAUCAUUUUUUUCAGCACAACCUCACCUGUGCGAAUUUACAGUUAUUUUAUCAUGUUGACAUACUGAAUUUACACAAUGGACCCAAAUUCACACACAAAACAUAAAAUCCGAGUGGAAAAAAGUAACAUUUUUACUGUGAAAACCACAAAUAUGUGUGAUGAACUGUUUUUAAAACUUAAACUUCAAAUAAAAAUUGUAAACUUCAAAACAUAUGCAAAUUUUUAACAAAGAACAUAGUGAUUUACCUCUAUUUACAUCAAAAUGCAGGCAAUGGCCCAGGCGUUCUUUGUAAAAUUAUUUACAAAACACUGUAUAGUCUCACAAAUGUCACUUUUUAUUUAUGCCACUACAAAAAAACAUGAUGUAAAUGAUGCAUGAUGUAAAACAUGAUGUAAAAAACUUGUGUAGAUCCUCCUCUAUGUCAGUCCAUGUGUAAUUUUUCCAUAAUUCUUUGUUUUUUGCAGCAUUUUUGUUAGUGUAACUGCAGAUUGUGCUGACAGUGUCUAUGGCACAAAAAAAAAAAUAAUAAUUAAAAUGCCUCAACAUGAACCCCUGGUGGUCUCUGAGGGUGAAACCUGCUAACUGCUGCAGCUCUGUCAGCUUCAGUCUCCCAUGCAGAGCUCUGAGCGCAUGUGUGGCUCUGCACCCUUAGCAGCGUUGCUAACUCCUCAGUAAGGAAAGCCUGCUUCAUGUCAGAGUCUCUAAACUCCAGAAGAAGUCGAUAAAAGUCCCUUUCUUUCUAAAAAAAAGUCGUUAGGGGGUCUGAAAAGUCAUUGAAUCUAACAACAAAGUCGCUAGGUUUGCAACUACGUGUCCCAGACUGCAUCCCUGCUGAGAGUCCCUCCCUCCCUUCUCAUGUUGCAGGAAGAACGUAAGCGCCCCCCUUGUCAAUCAGUCACCAUAUAAUUUUGGAUUGGUUGUUGUGGUGAAGUUUUCCACCAAUAGGAGAGAUGUUGUGGUGUGUUUUUUUUUUCUUUUGGCAAGCCUUUUCCGCCUGUAAGAGCUGUCGCUAAUGUCUGCAUGCUAUGUUUUCCUGUCUCAUACAGCGCGAUCGAGCGCCGAACGUGAUCAAAAUAAGCAGAAAAAAAGUAUUGCGGACAUAAUUUAUCAUAACUCUGGUUUUAUUUGGCCUAUCAACACAAUUUAAAAACUGGUAUAUAGCUUGAGGUCCUCACUUUUGAGAUAAGUUGAAACGGAGAGUCAACGAGGCUCCGUCUUGCAGCUACAUCCGGUUAAAUAUGUCAUGUGACUUGAACGCACACACAGACACACACACACGCACACACACACACACACACACACACACACACACACACACACACACACACACACACACACACACUCAGAGUCUGGUUUUUAGCACCUGCAAAAACAUGCUAUUUACAUAUUUGACAAGAAUGCAGAGGCUCCUUUUGCCCCUGAAAAAAAUCAAAUUUCAAACACAACUUGACUGGUCAUUUCUCCAAAAGACAACCAUGAAGCUCCAUCCAAACCUGAAGCAGGCAGUUGGUGCAUGUGUACAGUAACCUGAGGGGAGUGAGGUGAGUGCUUCUGAGGAGAACAUGAGCAGUGAAGAUUCACCUUGGAGCUAGAACAGAGACAUGCACAUGAUUAUACAGGGGCAGGGGCUCAAGUUUUUUCCAGUCGUUUAUACAAUAUGGAAAUUAAUGUGAAAUUAAAACACAAAGUAUUAAUAGAAAGGUAAUGACUGUCCUGUGUAGGUGACAGUGAUAUCCAAUAGGCUAGGCACUCACGAGGCUGGCUGUGGCAAGUGUAAGUGAAAGCAACACGCACUGGCAGGAAGAACAGCAAACGCCGAUGAAGGAAAAGGGUCUUUGCAGUGAUGGGCGUUACCAGAGAGGGCGAUGGCCAGAGGACACAAAUGGGACGGGGAGGCAGCACGUUGGGGGGGGGACGCGACACGGCUCGGGCCCGCCAGUGCCCCAACGGGGUCCUAGUUCUUUCUUUCUUUCUUCUUUUUCCUCCCCUUUGAACUGGAAAAUGGCCCACUUCCCACUGGCGAAAACUCAUGAAAUUUGGCAGGACGACCGGGCCUGGUGAAAAAUUCGAUAUUCUGAAGUCGCCCAAACAAUAAAAUGCAAAAUGGCUCCAUAGCGCCCCCUAAGGUGGAAAUUCACACUAUUGACUGUCACGCCUGUACGCUUUGUCAUAUUGACACAAAAAUUGACACACAUAUGUAUCUCAAUAAGAUCUACAAAAAAGUCAGUGCGGCCGUAUCUGUCAAAUGUACGGUUAAAGGGUUAUUUCGCAUUUUUUGCCGAUCCGCACACAUUGGAAUUUCGCUAACUCCUCCGAAGGCUUUCGUUCCACCGGCACCACAUUUGCUCAGGCCAAUCUACACCCCGUGGCCAUUAAAAGUUAUCAAAAUCAUGACGCUGCACCCCAAGGUUUAGGUUCUAGGGGGCGCCAAAGAUAACACUAAAAUCCACAUAUUUAAAAGUCUUAUAACUUUUUAUUUUUGUCCUCACUGGCCUCCAAGUUUUCUAGGAUGAUGCAAUGUCCAGCCAUCAACACAUUUGUGAAGGAAUUUUUACUCCCCAAAAGAGCGCCCCCCAUGGCAGGAGAAAAAAGUCCAUUUUUUCUUGUCCCCUAAGGUGAAAAUACACAUUGUUGAGUGUCACGCCUAUACGCUUUGUCAAAAUGACACAAAAAUUGACACACACAUGUAACUCAAUAAGAUCUACAAAAAAGUCAAUGCGCGCGUAUCUGUCAAAUGUACAGUUAAAGGGUUAUUCCGCAUUUUUUGCCGAUACGCACACAUUGGAAUUUCGCUAACUCCUCCGAAGGCUUUCGUUCCACUGGCACCACAUUUGCUCAGGCCAAUCUACACCCCAUGGCCAUUAAAAGUUAUUCAAAUCAUGAUGCUGCACCCCAUGGUUUAGGUUCUAGGGGGCGCCAAAAAUAACCCAAAAAUCCACAUUUUUAAAUGUUUUAUAACUUUUUAUUUUUGUCCUCACUGGCCUCCAAGUUUUCUAGGAUGAUGCAAUGUCCAGCCAUCAACACAUUUGUGAAGGAAUUUUUACUCCCCAAAAGAGCGCCCCCCCAUGGUAGGAGAAAAAAGUCAAUUUUUUCUUGUCCCCUUACAUGAAAAUACACAUUGUUGAGUGUCACACCUGAACGCUUUGUCAUAUUGACACAAAAAUUGACAAUCAUGUGUAUCUCAAUUAGAUCUACGAAAAAGUCAAAGAGCGCGUAUCUUUAUAAUGUACGGUUAAAGGGCUAUUUUGCAUUUUUUGCCGAUUCGCACACAUUGGAAUGUGGCUAUCUCCUCCUAAGGCUUUCGUCCCACCGAUACCAAAUUUGCUCAGGGCAAUCUACACCCCAUGCCCAUUCAAAGUUGUAAAAAUCAUGACGCUGCACCCCACGGUUUACGUUCUAGGGGGCGCCAAAGAUGACCCAAAAAUCCACAUUCUUAAAAGUCAUUUUGGCCACUGCAGGAGUACAGAGUACUGCAGUUCUAGGGGGCGCCAAAGAUGACCCAAAAAUCCACAUUCUUAAAAGUCUUUUUGGCCACUGCAGGAGUACAGAGUACUGCAGGAUACACACACAUAUACACACACGCCAACAUACACACACACACACACACACACACACACAGACACACACACACACACUCAGAGUCUGUUUUUUAGCACCUGCAAAAACAUGCUGUUUACAUAUUUGACAAGAAUGCAGAGGCUUCCUUUUGCCCCUGAAAAAAAUCAAAUUUCAAACACAACUUGACUGUUCAUUUCUCCAAAAGACAACCAUGAAGCUCCAUUUCAAACCUGAAGCAGAUAGUUGGUGCAUGUGUACAGUAACCUGAGGGGAGUGAGGUGACUAUUUCUGAGGAGAACAUGAGCAGUGAAGAUUCACCUUGGAGCUAGAACAGGGACGUGCACAUGAUUAUACAGGGGCAGGGGCUCAAGUUUUUUCCAGUCGUUUAUACAAUAUGGAAAUUAAUGUGAAAUUAAAACACAAAGUAUUAAUAGAAAGGUAAUGACUGUCCUGUGUAGGUGACAGUGAUAUCCAAUAGGCUAGGCACUCACGAGGCUGGCUGUGGCAAGUGUAAGUGAAAGCAACACGCACUGGCAGGAAGAACAGCAAACGCCGAUGAAGGAAAAGGGUCUUUGCAGUGAUGGGCGUUAACAGAGAGGGCGAUGGCCAGAGGACACAAAUGGGACGGGGAGGCAGCACGUUGGGGGGGGUGGGGGGGGGGGGGGACGCGACACGGCUCGGGCCCGCCAGUGCCCCAACGGGGUCCUAGUUAUUAGGGCCCGAGCCAGCUGCAGAGCAGCCGGGCGUAGGCCCUGUUAUUCCUGUAGGGGUUUUUCUUUAGGGCCCGAGCGUAGCUGCUAAGCAGCUGCGAGAGCCCUCUUGUUCCUGUAGUUUCCUUCUUUUGUUAUUAUUAUUAUUAUUUUUCCUCCCCUUUGAACUGGAAAAUGGCCCACUUCCCACUGGCGAAAACUCAUGAAAUUUGGCAGGACGACCGGGCCUGGUGAAAAAUUUGAUAUUCCGAAGUCGCCCAAACAAGAAAAUGCAAAAUGGCUCCAUAGCGCCCCCUAAGGUGAAAAUUCACACUAUUCACUGUCACGCCGGUACGCUUUGUCAAAAUGACACAAAAAUUGACACACACAUGUAUCUCAAUAAGAUCUACAAAAAAGUCAGUGCGGGCGUAUCUGUCAAAUGUACGGUUAAAGGGUUAUUUCGCAUUUUUUGCCGAUCCGCACACAUUGGAAUUUCGCUAACUCCUCCGAAGGCUUUCGUUCCACCGGCACCACAUUUGCUCAGGCCAAUCUACACCCCAUGGCCAUUAAAAGUUAUUCAAAUCAUGACGCUGCACCCCACGGUUUAGGUUCUAGGGGGCGCCAAAGAUAACCCUAAGAUCCACAUAUUUAAAAGUCUUAUAACUUUUUAUUUUUGCCCUCACUGGCCUCCAAGUUUUCUAGGAUGAUGCAAUGUCCAGCCAUCAACACAUUUGUGAAGGAAUUUUUACUCCCCAAAAGAGCGCCCCCCCCAUGGCAGGAGAAAAAAGUCCAUUUUUUCUUGUCCCCUAAGGUGAAAAUACACAUUGUUGAGUGUAACACCUGUACGCUUUGGCAAAAUGACACAAAAAUUGACACACACAUGUAUCUCAAUAAGAUCUACGAAAAAGUCAAUGCGCGCGUAUCUGUCAAAUGUACGGUUAAAGGGUUAUUCCGCAUUUUUUGCCGAUCCGCACACAUUGGAAUUUCGCUAACUCCUCCGAAGGCUUUCGUUCCACCGGCACCACUUUUGCUCAGGCCAAUCUACACCCCAUGGCCAUUAAAAGUUAUUCAAAUCAUGACGCUGCACCCCACGGUUUAGGUUCUAGGGGGAGCCAAAGAUAACCGUAAAAUCCACAUAUUUUAAAGUCUUAUAACUUUUUAUUUUUGUCCCCACUGGCCUCCAAGUUUUCUAGGAUGAUGCAAUGUCCAGCCAUCAACACAUUUGUGAAGGAAUUUUUACUCGGCAAAAGAGCGCCCCCCCAUGGCAGGAGAAAAAAGUCAAUUUUUUCUUGUCCACUAAGGUGAAAAUACACAUUGUUGAGUGCUACGCCUGUAUGUUUUGUCGUAUUGACACAAAAUUUUACAUACACGUGUAUUUACAUAAGAUCUUCGAAAAAGUCAAUGGCCACGUAUCUGUAAAAUGUACGGUUAAAGGGUUAUUUCGCAUUUUUUGCAGAUUCGCACACAUUGGAAUUUCGCUAAUUCCUCCGAAGGCUUUCGUUCCACCGGCACCACAUUUGCUCAGGCCAAUCUACACCCCAUGGCCAUUAAAAGUUAUUCAAAUCAUGACGCUGCACCCCACGGUUUAGGUUCUAGGGGGCGCCAAAUAUAACCCUAAAAUCCACAUAUUUAAAAGUCUUAUAACUUUUUAUUUUUGUCCUCACUGGCCUCCAUGUUUUCUAGGAUGAUGCAAUGUCCAGCCAUCAACACAUUUGUGAAGGAGUUUUUUCUCUUUAAAAGAGCGCCCCCCCAUGGCAGGAGAAAAAAGUCAAGUUUUUCCUGUUCAUCAUUCAAUGGCUCAAACGCACUGCUCUCUCGGCAAAAGCGAAAGGAGGAGCAACUUGCCAUUUGGAUAUAUCUUAGCUGUGUUUGUGCCCUCACUCAUGGUCCAGACUUUUUUCAAAUAGGACAUGGAGUUUUUCUGCAGCGAGCGUUUUGGUAGAAACUGCGCCUCCCGUUCAUUAUAAUGGUAAAUGACCACAAACAAGUGCGCACACCAUCUUUGGACCUUGAGUGUGACGUGAUCGGGUGGGGGAGGCGGUCGCGCUGGGGGCGGCGUGACACGGCUCGGGCCCGCCAGUGCCCCAACGGGGCCCUAGUUGUUUCUUUCUUUCUUCUUUUUCCUCCCCUUUGAACUGGAAAAUGGCCCACUUCCCACUGGCGAAAACUCAGGAAAUUUGGCAGGACGACCGGGCCUGGUGAAAAAUUUGAUAUUCCGAAGUCGCCCAAACAAGAAAAUGCAAAAUGGCUCCAUAGCGCCCCCUAAGGUGAAAAUUCACACUAUUGACUGUCACGCCUGUACGCUUUGUCAAAAUGACACAAAAAUUGACACACACAUGUAUCUCAAUAAGAUCUACAAAAAAGUCAGUGCGGGCGUAUCUGUCAAAUGUACGGUUAAAGGGUUAUUUCGCAUUUUUUGCCGAUCCGCACACAUUGGAAUUUCGCUAACUCCUCCGAAGGCUUUCGUUCCACCGGCACCACAUUUGCUCAGGCCAAUCUACACCCCAUGGCCAUUAAAAGUUAUUCAAAUCAUGACGCUGCACCCCACGGUUUAGGUUCUAGGGGGCGCCAAAGAUAACCCUAAAAUCCACAUUUUUAAAAGUCUUAUAACUUUUUAUUUUUCCCCUCACUGGCCUCCAAGUUUUCUAGGAUGAUGCAAUGUCCAGCCAUCAACACAUUUGUGAAGGAAUUUUUACUCCCCAAAAGAGCGCCCCCCCAUGGCAGGAGAAAAAAGUCCAUUUUUUUCUUGUCCCCUAAGGUGAAAAUACACAUUGUUGAGUGUCACGCCUGUACGCUUUGUCAAAAUGACACAAAAAUUGACACACACAUGUAUCUCAAUAAGAUCUACAAAAAAGUCCAUGCGCGCGUAUCUGUCUAAUGUAUGGUUAAAGGGUUAUUCCGAAUUUUUUGCCGAUUCGCACACAUUGGAAUUUCGCUAACUCCUCCGAAGGCUUUCGUUCCACCGGCACCACAUUUGCUCAGGCCAAAUUACACCCCAUGGCCAUUAAAAGUUAUUCAAAUCAUGACGCUGCACCCCACGGUUUACGUUCUAGGGGGCGCCAAAGAUAACCCAAAAAUCCACAUUUUUAAAAGUCUUAUAACUUUUUAUUUUUGUCCUCACUGGCCUCCAAGUUUUCUAGGAUGAUGCAAUGUCCAGCCAUCAACACAUUUGUGAAGGAAUUUUUACUCCCCAAAAGAGCGCCCCCCAUGGCAGGAGAAAAAAGUCCAUUUUUUUCUUGUCCCCUAAGGUGAAAAUACACAUUGUUGAGUGUCACGCCUGUACGCUUUGUCAAAAUGACACAAAAAUUGACACACACAUGUAUCUCAAUAAGAUCUACAAAAAAGUCCAUGCGCGCGUAUCUGUCUAAUGUACGGUUAAAGGGUUAUUCCGAAUUUUUUGCCGAUUCGCACACAUUGGAAUUUCGCUAACUCCUCCGAAGGCUUUCGUUCCACCGGCACCACAUUUGCUCAGGCCAAAUUACACCCCAUGGCCAUUAAAAGUUAUUCAAAUCAUGACGCUGCACCCCACGGUUUACGUUCUAGGGGGCGCCAAAGAUAACCCAAAAAUCCACAUUUUUAAAAGUCUUAUAACUUUUUAUUUUUGUCCUCACUGGCCUCCAAGUUUUCUAGGAUGAUGCAAUGUCCAGCCAUCAACACAUUUGUGAAGGAAUUUUUACUCCCCAAAAGAGCGCCCCCCCAUGGCAGGAGAAAAAAGUCCAUUUUUUUCUUGUCCCCUAAGGUGAAAAUACACAUUGUUGAGUGUCACGCCUGUACGCUUUGUCAAAAUGACACAAAAAUUGACACACACAUGUAUCUCAAUAAGAUCUACAAAAAAGUCCAUGCGCGCGUAUCUGUCUAAUGUACGGUUAAAGGGUUAUUCCGAAUUUUUUGCCGAUUCGCACACAUUGGAAUUUCGCUAACUCCUCCGAAGGCUUUCGUUCCACCGGCACCACAUUUGCUCAGGCCAAAUUACACCCCAUGGCCAUUAAAAGUUAUUCAAAUCAUGACGCUGCACCCCACGGUUUACGUUCUAGGGGGCGCCAAAGAUAACCCAAAAAUCCACAUUUUUAAAAGUCUUAUAACUUUUUAUUUUUGUCCUCACUGGCCUCCAAGUUUUCUAGGAUGAUGCAAUGUCCAGCCAUCAACACAUUUGUGAAGGAAUUUUUACUCCCCAAAAGAGCGCCCCCCCAUGGCAGGAGAAAAAAGUCCAUUUUUUCUUGUCCCCUAAGGUGAAAAUACACAUUGUUGACUGUCACGCCUGUACGCUUUGGCAAAAUGACACAAAAAUUGACAAUCAUGUGUAUCUCAAUUAGAUCUACGAAAAAGUCAAAGAGCGCGUAUCUGUAUAAUGUACGGUAAAAGGGCUAUUUUGCAUUUUUUGCCGAUUCGCACACAUUGGAAUUUCGCUAACUCCUCCUAAGGCUUUCGUCCCACUGACACCAAAUUUGCUCAGGCCAAUCUACACUCCAUGGCCAUUCAAAGUUGUAAAAAUCAUGACGCUGCACCCCACGGUUUACGUUUUAGGGGGCGCCAAAGAUGACCCAAAUAUACAUUACAGUAGACAAAGUAGUUUUGCCCACUGAGUGGCGCCAAAGGGACUUGUCUGUGGAGUCUGUGAGUCACUAUUGGCCGUUUUUGACUACUUUAGAUUUUACCUUUAUAUUUCCUCUUACAAAAUUUUUACCUUGCCUUGCCUGGUAUCAUUUUUUUCAGCACAACCUCACCUGUGUCAAUUUACAGUUAUUUUAUCAUUUUGACAUACUAUAUUUACACAUUGGACCCAAAUUCACACACAAAACAUAAAAUCCGAGUGGAAAAAAGUAACGUUUUUACUGUGAAAACCACAAAUAUGUGUGAUGAACUGUUUUUAAAACUUAAACUUCAAAUAAAAAUUGUAAACUUCAAAACAUAUGCAAAUUUUUAACAAAGAACAUAGUAAUUUACCUCUAUUGACAUCAAAAUGCAGGCAAUGGCCCAGGUGUUCUUUGUAAAAUUAUUUACAAAACACUGUAUAGUCUCACAAAUGUCACUUUUUAUUUAUGCCACUACAAAAAAACAUGAUGUAAAUGAUGCAUGAUGUAAAACAUGAUGUAAAAAACUUGUGUAGAUCCUCCUCUAUGUUAGUCCAUGUGUAAUUUUUCCAUAAUUCUUUGUUUUUUGCAGCAUUUUUGUUAGUGUAACUGCAGAUUGUGCUGACAGUGUCUAUGGCAAAAAAAAAAAAAAAAAACUGAAAAUGCCUCAACAUGAACCCCUGGUGGUCUCUGAGGGUGAAACCUGCUAACUGCUGCAGCUCUGUCAGCUUCAGUCUCCCAUGCAGAGCUCGGAGCGCAUGUGUGGCUCUGCACCCUUAGCAGCGUUGCUAACUCCUCAGUAAGGAAAGCCUGCUUCAUGUCAGAGUCUCUAAACUCCAGAACUCCAGAAGAAGUCGAUAAAAGUCCCUUUCUUUCUAAAAAAAAAGUCAUUAGGGGGUCUGAAAAGUCAUUGAAUCUAACAACAAAGUCGCUAGGUUUGCAACUACGUGUCCCAGACUGCAUCCCUGCUGAGAGUCCCUCCCUCCCUUCUCAUGUUUUCCACCAAUAGGAGAGAUGUUGUGGUGUGUUUUUUUUUUCUUUUGGCAAGCCUUUUCCGCCUUUAAGACCUGUCGCUAAUGUCUGCAUGCUAUGUUUUCCUGUCUCAUACAGCGCGAUCGAGCGCCGAACGUGAUCAAAAUAAGCAGAAAAAAAGUAUCGCGGACAUAAUUUAUCAUAACUCUGGUUUUAUUUGGCCUAUCAACACAAUUUAAAAACUGGUAUAUAGGUUGAGGUCCUCACUUUUGAGAUAAGUUGAAACGGAGAGUCAACGAGGCUCCGUCUUGCAGCUACAUCCGGUUAAAUAUGUCAUGUGACUUGAACGCACACAUAGACACACACACGCACACACACACACACACACACACACACACACACACACACACACACACACACACACACACACACACACACACUCAGAGUCUGGUUUUUAGCACCUGCAAAAACAUGCUAUUUACAUAUUUGACAAGAAUGCAGAGGCUCCUUUUGCCCCUGAAAAAAAUCAAAUUUCAAACACAACUUGACUGGUCAUUUCUCCAAAAGACAACCAUGAAGCUCCAUCCAAACCUGAAGCAGGCAGUUGGUGCAUGUGUACAGUAACCUGAGGGGAGUGAGGUGAGUGCUUCUGAGGAGAACAUGAGCAGUGAAGAUUCACCUUGGAGCUAGAACAGAGACAUGCACAUGAUUAUACAGGGGCAGGGGCUCAAGUUUUUUCCAGUCGUUUAUACAAUAUGGAAAUUAAUGUGAAAUUAAAACACAAAGUAUUAAUAGAAAGGUAAUGACUGUCCUGUGUAGGUGACAGUGAUAUCCAAUAGGCUAGGCACUCACGAGGCUGGCUGUGGCAAGUGUAAGUGAAAUCAACACGCACUGGCAGGAAGAACAGCAAACGCCGAUGAAGGAAAAGGGUCUUUGCAGUGAUGGGCGUUAACAGAGAGGGCGAUGGCCAGAGGACACAAAUGGGACGGGGAGGCAGCACGUUGGGGGGGGGGGGACGCGACACGGCUCGGGCCCGCCAGUGCCCCAACGGGGUCCUAGUUAUUAGGGCCCGAGCCAGCUGCAGAGCAGCCGGGCGUAGGCCCUGUUAUUCCUGUAGGGGUUUUUUAGGGCCCGAGCGUAGCUGCUAAGCAGCUGCGAGAGCCCUCUUGUUCCUGUAGUUUCCUUCUUUUGUUAUUAUUAUUUUUCCUCCCCUUUGAACUGGAAAAUGGCCCACUUCCCACUGGCGAAAACUCAUGAAAUUUGGCAGGACGACCGGGCCUGGUGAAAAAUUUGAUAUUCCGAAGUCGCCCAAACAAGAAAAUGCAAAAUGGCUCCAUAGCGCCCCCUAAGGUGAAAAUUCACACUAUUGACUGUCACGCCUGUACGCUUUGUCAAAAUGACACAAAAAUUGACACACACAUGUAUCUCAAUAAGAUCUACAAAAAAGUCAGUGCGGGCGUAUCUGUCAAAUGUACGGUUAAAGGGUUAUUUCGCAUUUUUUGCCGAUCCGCACACAUUGGAAUUUCGCUAACUCCUCCGAAGGCUUUCGUUCCACCGGCACCACAUUUGCUCAGGCCAAUCUACACCCCAUGGCCAUUAAAAGUUAUUCAAAUCAUGACGCUGCACCCCACGGUUUAGGUUCUAGGGGGCGCCAAAGAUAACCCUAAGAUCCACAUAUUUAAAAGUCUUAUAACUUUUUAUUUUUGCCCUCACUGGCCUCCAAGUUUUCUAGGAUGAUGCAAUGUCCAGCCAUCAACACAUUUGUGAAGGAAUUUUUACUCCCCAAAAGAGCGCCCCCCCAUGGCAGGAGAAAAAAGUCCAUUUUUUCUUGUCCCCUAAGGUGAAAAUACACAUUGUUGAGUGUAACACCUGUACGCUUUGGCAAAAUGACACAAAAAUUUGACAAUCACGUGCCUUGCCUGGUAUCAUUUUUUUCAGCACAACCUCACCUGUGCGAAUUUACAGUUAUUUUAUCAUGUUGACAUACUGAAUUUACACAAUGGACCCAAAUUCACACACAAAACAUAAAAUCCGAGUGGAAAAAAGUAACAUUUUUACUGUGAAAACCACAAAUAUGUGUGAUGAACUGUUUUUAAAACUUAAACUUCAAAUAAAAAUUGUAAACUUCAAAACAUAUGCAAAUUUUUAACAAAGAACAUAGUGAUUUACCUCUAUUUACAUCAAAAUGCAGGCAAUGGCCCAGGCGUUCUUUGUAAAAUUAUUUACAAAACACUGUAUAGUCUCACAAAUAUCACUUUUUAUUUAUGCCACUACAAAAAAACAUGAUGUAAAUGAUGCAUGAUGUAAAACAUGAUGUAAAAAACUUGUGUAGAUCCUCCUCUAUGUCAGUCCAUGUGUAAUUUUUCCAUAAUUCUUUGUUUUUUGCAGCAUUUUUGUUAGUGUAACUGCAGAUUGUGCUGACAGUGUCUAUGGCACAAAAAAAAAAAUAAUUAAAAUGCCUCAACAUGAACCCCUGGUGGUCUCUGAGGGGAAACCUGCUAACUGCUGCAGCUCUGUCAGCUUCAGUCUCCCAUGCAGAGCUCUGAGCGCAUGUGUGGCUCUGCACCCUUAGCAGCAUUGCUAACUCCUCAGUAAGGAAAGCCUGCUUCAUGUCAGAGUCUCUAAACUCCAGAAGAAGUCGAUAAAAGUCCCUUUCUUUCUAAAAAAAAAAGUCGUUAGGGGGUCUGAAAAGUCAUUGAAUCUAACAACAAAGUCGCUAGGUUUGCAACUACGUGUCCCAGACUGCAUCCCUGCUGAGAGUCCCUCCCUCGCUUCUCAUGUUGCAGGAAGAACGUAAGCGCCCGCCCCUUGUCAAUCAGUCACCAUAUAAUUUUGGAUUGGUUGUUGUGGUGAAGUUUUCCACCAAUAGGAGAGAUGUUGUGGUGUGUUUUUUUUUUCUUUUGGCAAGCCUUUUCCGCCUGUAAGAGCUGUCGCUAAUGUCUGCAUGCUUUGUUUUCCUGUCUCAUACAGCGCGAUCGAGCGCCGAACGUGAUCAAAAUAAGCAGAAAAAAAGUAUCGCGGACAUAAUUUAUCAUAACUCUGGUUUUAUUUGGCCUAUCAUCACAAUUUAAAAACUGGUAUAUAGGUUGAGGUCCUCACUUUUGAGAUAAGUUGAAACGGAGAGUCAACGAGGCUCCGUCUUGCAGCUACAUCCGGUUAAAUAUGUCAUGUGACUUGAACGCACACACAGACACACACACACGCACACACACACACACUCAGAGUCUGGUUUUUAGCACCUGCAAAAACAUGCUAUUUACAUAUUUGACAAGAAUGCAGAGGCUCCUUUUGCCCCUGAAAAAAAUCAAAUUUCAAACACAACUUGACUGGUCAUUUCUCCAAAAGACAACCAUGAAGCUCCAUCCAAACCUGAAGCAGGCAGUUGGUGCAUGUGUACAGUAACCUGAGGGGAGUGAGGUGAGUGCUUCUGAGGAGAACAUGAGCAGUGAAGAUUCACCUUGGAGCUAGAACAGAGACAUGCACAUGAUUAUACAGGGGCAGGGGCUCAAGUUUUUUCCAGUCGUUUAUACAAUAUGGAAAUUAAUGUGAAAUUAAAACACAAAGUAUUAAUAGAAAGGUAAUGACUGUCCUGUGUAGGUGACAGUGAUAUCCAAUAGGCUAGGCACUCACGAGGCUGGCUGUGGCAAGUGUAAGUGAAAGCAACACGCACUGGCAAGAAGAACAGCAAACGCCAAUGAAGGAAAAGGGUCUUUGCAGUGAUGGGCGUUACCAGAGAGGGCGAUGGCCAGAGGACACAAAUGGGACGGGGAGGCAGCACGUUGGGGGGGGGACGCGACACGGCUCGGGCCCGCCAGUGCCCCAACGGGGUCCUAGUCUUUGUUUCUUUCUUUAGGGCCCGAGCGUAGCUGCUAAGCAGCUGCGAGAGCCCUCUUGUUCCUGUAGUUUCCUUCUUUUGUUAUUAUUAUUAUUAUUUUUCCUCCCCUUUGAACUGGAAAAUGGCCCACUUCCCACUGGCGAAAACUCAUGAAAUUUGGCAGGACGACCGGGCCUGGUGAAAAAUUUGAUAUUCCGAAGUCGCCCAAACAAGAAAAUGCAAAAUGGCUCCAUAGCGCCCCCUAAGGUGAAAAUUCACACUAUUCACUGUCACGCCGGUACGCUUUGUCAAAAUGACACAAAAAUUGACACACACAUGUAUCUCAAUAAGAUCUACAAAAAAGUCAGUGCGGGCGUAUCUGUCAAAUGUACGGUUAAAGGGUUAUUUCGCAUUUUUUGCCGAUCCGCACACAUUGGAAUUUCGCUAACUCCUCCGAAGGCUUUCGUUCCACCGGCACCACAUUUGCUCAGGCCAAUCUACACCCCAUGGCCAUUAAAAGUUAUUCAAAUCAUGACGCUGCACCCCACGGUUUAGGUUCUAGGGGGCGCCAAAGAUAACCCUAAGAUCCACAUAUUUAAAAGUCUUAUAACUUUUUAUUUUUGCCCUCACUGGCCUCCAAGUUUUCUAGGAUGAUGCAAUGUCCAGCCAUCAACACAUUUGUGAAGGAAUUUUUACUCCCCAAAAGAGCGCCCCCCAUGGCAGGAGAAAAAAGUCCAUUUUUUCUUGUCCCCUAAGGUGAAAAUACACAUUGUUGAGUGUAACACCUGUACGCUUUGUCAAAAUGACACAAAAAUUGACACACACAUGUAUCUCAAUAAGAUCUACAAAAAAGUCAGUGCGGGCGUAUCUGUCAAAUGUACGGUUAAAGGGUUAUUUCGCAUUUUUUGCCGAUCCGCACACAUUGGAAUUUCGCUAACUCCUCCGAAGGCUUUCGUUCCACCGGCACCACAUUUGCUCAGGCCAAUCUACACCCCAUGGCCAUUAAAAGUUAUUCAAAUCAUGACGCUGCACCCCACGGUUUAGGUUCUAGGGGGAGCCAAAGAUAACCGUAAAAUCCACAUAUUUAAAAGUCUUAUAACUUUUUAUUUUUGUCCCCACUGGCCUCCAAGUUUUCUAGGAUGAUGCAAUGUCCAGCCAUCAACACAUUUGUGAAGGAAUUUUUACUCGGCAAAAGAGCGCCCCCCAUGGCAGGAGAAAAAAGUCAAUUUUUUCUUGUCCACUAAGGUGAAAAUACACAUUGUUGAGUGCUACGCCUGUAUGUUUUGUCGUAUUGACACAAAAUUUUACAUACACGUGUAUUUACAUAAGAUCUUCGAAAAAGUCAAUGGCCACGUAUCUGUUAAAUGUACGGUUAAAGGGUUAUUUCGCAUUUUUUGCAGAUUCGCACACAUUGGAAUUUCGCUAAUUCCUCCGAAGGCUUUCGUUCCACCGGCACCACAUUUGCUCAGGCCAAUCUACACCCCAUGGCCAUUAAAAGUUAUUCAAAUCAUGACGCUGCACCCCACGGUUUAGGUUCUAGGGGGCGCCAAAUAUAACCCUAAAAUCCACAUAUUUAAAAGUCUUAUAACUUUUUAUUUUUGUCCUCACUGGCCUCCAUGUUUUCUAGGAUGAUGCAAUGUCCAGCCAUCAACACAUUUGUGAAGGAGUUUUUUCUCUUUAAAAGAGCGCCCCCCAUGGCAGGAGAAUAAAGUCAAGUUUUUCCUGUUCAUCAUUCAAUGGCUCAAACGCACUGCUCUCUCGGCAAAAGCGAAAGGAGGAGCAACUUGCCAUUUGGAUAUAUCUUAGCUGUGUUUGUGCCCUCACUCAUGGUCCAGACUUUUUUUAAAUAGGACAUGGAGUUUUUCUGCAGCGAGCGUUUUGGUAGAAACUGCGCCUCCUGUUCAUUAUAAUGGUAAAUGACCACAAACAAGUGCGCACACCAUCUUUGGACCUUGAGUGUGACGCGAUCGGGUGGGGGAGGCGGUCGCGCUGGGGGCGGCGUGACACGGCUCGGGCCCGCCAGUGCCCCAACGGGGCCCUAGUUAUUAUUAUUAUUUUUCCUCCCCUUUGAACUGGAAAAUGGCCCACUUCCCACUGGCGAAAACUCAUGAAAUUUGGCAGGACGACCGGGCCUGGUGAAAAAUUUGAUAUUCCGAAGUCGCCCAAACAAGAAAAUGCAAAAUGGCUCCAUAGCGCCCCCUAACGUGAAAAUUCACACUAUUCACUGUCACGCCUGUACGCUUUGUCAAAAUGACACAAAAAUUGACACACACAUGUAUCUCAAUAAGAUCUACAAAAAAGUCAGUGCGGGCGUAUCUGUCAAAUGUACGGUUAAAGGGUUAUUGCGCAUUUUUUGCCGAUCCGCACACAUUGGAAUUUCGCUAACUCCUCCGAAGGCUUUCGUUCCACCGGCACCACAUUUGCUCAGGCCAAUCUACACCCCAUGGCCAUUAAAAGUUAUUCAAAUCAUGACGCUGCACCCCACGGUUUAGGUUCUAGGGGGCGCCAAAAAUAACCCUAAAAUCCACAUAUUUCAAAGUCUUAUAACUUUUUAUUUUUGCCCUCACUGGCCUCCAAGUUUUCUAGGAUGAUGCAAUGUCCAGCCAUCAACACAUUUGUGAAGGAAUUUUUACUCCCCAAAAGAGCGCCCCCCCAUGGCAGGAGAAAAAAGUCCAUUUUUUCUUGUCCCAUAAGGUGAAAAUUCACACUAUUGACUGUCACGCCUGUACGCUUUGUCAAAAUUACACAAAAAUUGACACACACAUGUAUCUCAAUAAGAUCUACAAAAAAGUCAGUGCUGGCGUAUCUGUCAAAUGUACGGUUAAAGGGUUAUUGCGCAUUUUUUGCCGAUCCGCACACAUUGGAAUUUCGCUAACUCCUCCGAAGGCUUUCGUUCCACCGGCACCACAUUUGCUCAGGCCAAUCUACACCCCAUGGCCAUUAAAAGUUAUUCAAAUCAUGACGCUGCACCCCACAGUUUAGGUUCUAGGGGGCGCCAAAGAUAACCCAAAAAUCCACAUAUUUAAAAGUCUUAUAACUUUUUAUUUUUGUCCUCUCUGGCCUCCAAGUUUUCUAGGAUGAUGCAAUGUCCAGCCAUCAACACAUUUGUGAAGGAAUUUUUACUCCCCAAAAGAGCGCCCCCCCAUGGCAGGAGAAAAAAGUCCAUUUUUUCUUGUCCCAUAAGGUGAAAAUACACAUUGUUGACUGUCAUACCUGUAUGCUUUGUCAUAUUGACACAAAAUUUGACACACACAUGUAUCUCAAUAAGAUCUACGAAAAAGUCAAUGCGCGCGUAUCUGUAAAAUGUACGGUUAAAGGGCUAUUUUGCAUUUUUUGCCGAUUAGCACACAUUGGAAUGUGGCUAACUCCUCCUAAGGCUUUCGUCCCACUGACACCAAAUUUGCUCAGGCCAAUCUACACCCCAUGGCCAUUCAAAGUUUUAAAAAUCAUGACGCUGCACCCCACGGUUUACGUUCUAGGGGGCGCCAAAGAUGACCCAAAUAUCCACAUUCUUAAAAGAAUCCACAUCCCCCCCCCCCCCAUCCCCCAUCCCCCAUGGCAGGAGAAACAGUCAAGUUUUUCCUGCCCAUCACUCAAUGGCUCAAUCGCAUCGCUCUCCCGGCAACACCGUAACGAGGAGCAACUUGCCGUUUGGAUAUAUCCUAGCUGUGUUUGUGCCCUCACUCAUGGUCCACACUUUUUUCAAAUAGGACAUGUAGUUUGUCUGCAGCGAGUGUUUUGGUAGAAACUGCGCCUCCCAUUCAUUAUAAUGGGAAAUGACCACAGACAAGUGCGCACACCAUCUUUGGACCUUGAGUGUGACGCGAUCGGGAGGGGGAGGCGGUCGCACUGGGGGCGGCGCAACGCGGCUCGGGCCCGCCAGUGCCCCAACGGGGUCCUAGUUUUUCUUUUUCCUCCCCUUUGAACUGGAAAAUGGCCCACUUCCCACUGGCGAAAACUCAUGAAAUUUGGCAGGACGACCGGGCCUGGUGAAAAAUUUCAUAUUCCGAAGUCGCCCAAACAAGAAAAUGCAAAAUGGCUCCAUAGCGCCCCCUAAGGUGAAAAUUCACACUAUUCACUGUCACGCCUGUACGCUUUGUCAAAAUGACACAAAAAUUGACACACACAUGUAUCUCAAUAAGAUCUACAAAAAAGUCAGUGCGGGCGUAUCUGUCAAAUGUACGGUUAAAGGGUUAUUUCGCAUUUUUUGCCGAUCCGCACACAUUGGAAUUUCGCUAACUCCUCGGAAGGCUUUCGUUCCACCGGCACCACAUUUGCUCAGGCCAAUCUACACCCCGUGGCCAUUAAAAGUUAUCAAAAUCAUGACGCUGCACCCCAAGGUUUAGGUUCUAGGGGGCGCCAAAGAUAACACUAAAAUCCACAUAUUUAAAAGUCUUAUAACUUUUUAUUUUUGUCCUCACUGGCCUCCAAGUUUUCUAGGAUGAUGCAAUGUCCAGCCAUCAACACAUUUGUGAAGGAAUUUUUACUCCCCAAAAGAGCGCCCCCCCAUGGCAGGAGAAAAAAGUCCAUUUUUUCUUGUCCCCUAAGGUGAAAAUACACAUUGUUGAGUGUCACGCCUCUACGCUUUGUCAAAAUGACACAAAAAUUGACACACACAUGUAACUCAAUAAGAUCUACGAAAAAGUCAAUGCGCGCGUAUCUGUCAAAUGUACGGUUAAAGGGUUAUUCUGCAUUUUUUGCCGAUCCGCACACAUUGGAAUUUCGCUAACUCCUCCGAAGGCUUUCGUUCCACCGGCACCACAUUUGCUCAGGCCAAUCUACACCCCAUGGCCAUUAAAAGUUAUUCAAAUCAUGAUGCUGCACCCCAUGGUUUAGGUUCUAGGGGGCGCCAAAAAUAACCCAAAAAUCCACAUUCUUAAAUGUUUUAUAACUUUUUAUUUUUGUCCUCACUGGCCUCCAAGUUUUCUAGGAUGAUGCAAUGUCCAGCCAUCAACACAUUUGUGAAGGAAUUUUUACUCCCCAAAAGAGCGCCCCCCAUGGUAGGAGAAAAAAGUCAAUUUUUUCUUGUCCCCUUACAUGAAAAUACACAUUGUUGAGUGUCACGCCUAUACGCUUUGUCAUAUUGACACAAAAAUUGACAAUCAUGUGUAUCUCAAUUAGAUCUACGAAAAAGUCAAAGAGCGCGUAUCUGUAUAAUGUACGGUUAAAGGGCUAUUUUGCAUUUUUUGCCGAUUUGCACACAUUGGAAUGUGGCUAUCUCCUCCUAAGGCUUUCGUCCCACCGAUACCAAAUUUGCUCAGGGCAAUCUACACCCCAUGCCCAUUCAAAGUUGUAAAAAUCAUGACGCUGCACCCCACGGUUUACGUUCUAGGGGGCGCCAAAGAUGACCCAAAAAUCCACAUUCUUAAAAGUCAUUUUGGCCACUGCAGGAGUACAGAGUACUGCAGUUCUAGGGGGCGCCAAAGAUGACCCAAAAAUCCACAUUCUUAAAAGUCUUUUUAGCCACUGCAGGAGUACAGAGUACUGCAGGAUACACACACAUAUACACACACGCCAACAUACACACACACACACACAGACACACAGACACACACACACACUCAGAGUCUGUUUUUUAGCACCUGCAAAAACAUGCUGUUUACAUAUUUGACAAGAAUGCAGAGGCUUCCUUUUGCCCCUGAAAAAAAUCAAAUUUCAAACACAACUUGACUGUUCAUUUCUCCAAAAGACAACCAUGAAGCUCCAUUUCAAACCUGAAGCAGAUAGUUGGUGUAUGUGUACAGUAACCUGAGGGGAGUGAGGUGACUAUUUCUGAGGAGAACAUGAGCAGUGAAGAUUCACCUUGGAGCUAGAACAGGGACGUGCACAUGAUUAUACAGGGGCAGGGGCUCAAGUUUUUUCCAGUCAUUUAUACAAUAUGGAAAUUAAUGUGAAAUUAAACCACAAAUAUGUGUGAUGAACUGUUUUUAAAACUUAAACUUCAAAUAAAAAUUGUAAACUUCAAAACAUAUGCAAAUUUUUAACAAAGAGCAUAGUAAUUUACCUCUAUUUACAUCAAAAUGCAGGCAAUGGCCCAGGCGUUCUUUGUAAAAUUAUUUACAAAACACUGUAUAGUCUCACAAAUGUCACUUUUUAUUUAUGCCACUACAAAAAAACAUGAUGUAAAUGAUGCAUGAUGUAAAACAUGAUGUAAAAAACUUGUGUAGAUCCUCCUCUAUGUCAGUCCAUGUGUAAUUUUUCCAUAAUUCUUUGUUUUUUGCAGCAUUUUUGUUAGUGUAACUGCAGAUUGUGCUGACAGUGUCUAUGGCACAAAAAAAAAAAAAAUUAAAAUGCCUCAACAUGAACCCCUGGUGGUCUCUGAGGGUGAAACCUGCUAACUGCUGCAGCUCUGUCAGCUUCAGUCUCCCAUGCAGAGCUCUGAGCGCAUGUGUGGCUCUGCACCCUUAGCAGCGUUGCUAACUCCUCAGUAAGGAAAGCCUGCUUCAUGUCAGAGUCUCUAAACUCCAGAAGAAGUCGAUAAAAGUCCCUUUCUUUCUAAAAAAAAGUCGUUAGGGGGUCUGAAAAGUCAUUGAGUCUAACAACAAAGUCGCUAGGUUUGCAACUACGUGUCCCAGACUGCAUCCCUGCUGAGAGUCCCUCCCUCCCUUCUCAUGUUGCAGGAAGAACGUAAGCGCCCGCCCCUUGUCAAUCAGUCACCAUAUAAUUUUGGAUUGGUUGUUGUGGUGAAGUUUUCCACCAAUAGGAGAGAUGUUGUGGUGUGUUUUUUUUUUCUUUUGGCAAGCCUUUUCCGCCUGUAAGACCUGUCGCUAAUGUCUUCAUGCUAUGUUUUCCUGUCUCAUACAGCGCGAUCGAGCGCCGAACGUGAUCAAAAUAAGCAGAAAAAAAGUAUCGCGGACAUAAUUUAUCAUAACUCUGGUUUUAUUUGGCCUAUCAACACAAUUUAAAAACUGGUAUAUAGGUUGAGGUCCUCACUUUUGAGAUAAGUUGAAACGGAGAGUCAACGAGGCUCCGUCUUGCAGCUACAUCCGGUUAAAUAUGUCAUGUGACUUGAACGCACACACACACACGCACACACACACACACACACACACACACACACACACACACACACACACACACACACUCAGAGUCUGGUUUUUAGCACCUGCAAAAACAUGCUGUUUACAUAUUUGACAAGAAUGCAGAGGCUUCCUUUUGCCCCUGAAAAAAAUCAAAUUUCAAACACAACUUGACUGUUCAUUUCUCCAAAAGACAACCAUGAAGCUCCAUUUCAAACCUGAAGCAGAUAGUUGGUGCAUGUGUACAGUAACCUGAGGGGAGUGAGGUGACUAUUUCUGAGGAGAACAUGAGCAGUGAAGAUUCACCUUGGAGCUAGAACAGAGACAUGCACAUGAUUAUACAGGGACAGGGGCUCAAGUUUUUUCCAGUCGUUUAUACAAUAUGGAAAUUAAUGUGAAAUUAAAACACAAAGUAUUAAUAGAAAGGUAAUGACUGUCCUGUGUAGGUGACAGUGAUAUCCAAUAGGCUAGGCACUCACGAGGCUGGCUGUGGCAAGUGUAAGUGAAAGCAACACGCACUGGCAGGAAGAACAGCAAACGCCGAUGAAGGAAAAGGGUCUUUGCAGUGAUGGGCGUUACCAGAGAGGGCGAUGGCCAGAGGACACAAAUGGGACGGGAAGGCAGCACGUUGGGGGGGGGGGGACGCGACACGGCUCGGGCCCGCCAGUGCCCCAACGGGGUCCUAGUUAUUUUUCCUCCCCUUUGAACUGGAAAAUGGCCCACUUCCCACUGGCGAAAACUCAUGAAAUUUGGCAGGACGACCGGGCCUGGUGAAAAAUUUGAUAUUCCGAAGUCGCCCAAACAAGAAAAUGCAAAAUGGCUCCAUAGCGCCCCCUAAGGUGAAAAUUCACACUAUUCACUGUCACGCCUGUACGCUUUGUCAAAAUGACACAAAAAUUGACACACACAUGUAUCUCAAUAAGAUCUACAAAAAAGUCAGUGCGGGCGUAUCUGUCAAAUGUACGGUUAAAGGGUUAUUUCGCAUUUUUUGCCGAUCCGCACACAUUGGAAUUUCGCUAACUCCUCCGAAGGCUUUGUUCCACCGGCACCACAUUUGCUCAGGCCAAUCUACACCCCAUGGCCAUUAAAAGUUAUUCAAAUCAUGACGCUGCACCCCACGGUUUAGGUUCUAGGGGGCGCCAAAGAUAACCCUAAGAUCCACAUAUUUAAAAGUCUUAUAACUUUUUAUUUUUGCCCUCACUGGCCUCCAAGUUUUCUAGGAUGAUGCAAUGUCCAGCCAUCAACACAUUUGUGAAGGAAUUUUUACUCCCCAAAAGAGCGCCCCCCCAAGGCAGGAGAAAAAAGUCCAUUUUUUCUUGUCCCCUAAGGUGAAAAUUCACACUAUUGACUGUCACGCCUGUACGCUUUGUCAAAAUGACACAAAAAUUGACACACACAUGUAUCUCAAUAAGAUCUACAAAAAAGUCCAUGCGCGCGUAUCUGUCUAAUGUACGGUUAAAGGGUUAUUUCGCAUUUUUUGCCGAUCCGCACACAUUGGAAUUUCGCUAACUCCUCCGAAGGCUUUCGUUCCACCGGCACCACAUUUGCUCAGGCCAAUCUACACCCCAUGGCCAUUAAAAGUUAUUCAAAUCAUGACGCUGCACCCCACGGUUUAGGUUCUAGGGGGCGCCAAAGAUAACCCUAAAAUCCACAUAUUUAAUAGUCUUAGAACUUUUUAUUUUUGCCCUCACUGGCCUCCAAGUUUUCUAGGAUGAUGCAAUGUCCAGCCAUCAACACAUUUGUGAAGGAAUUUUUACUCCCCAAAAGAGCGCCCCCCCAUGGCAGGAGAAAAAAGUCCAUUUUUUCUUGUCCCCUAAGGUGAAAAUUCACACUAUUGACUGUCACGCCUGUACGCUUUGUCAAAAUGACACAAAAAUUGACACACACAUGUAUCUCAAUAAGAUCUACAAAAAAGUCCAUGCGAGCGUAUCUGUCUAAUGUACGGUUAAAGGGUUAUUUCGCAUUUUUUGCCGAUCCGCACACAUUGGAAUUUCGCUAACUCCUCCGAAGGCUUUCGUUCCACCGGCACCACAUUUGCUCAGGCCAAUCUACACCCCAUGGCCAUUAAAAGUUAUUCAAAUCAUGACGCUGCACCCCACGGUUUACGUUCUAGGGGGCGCCAAAGAUAACCCAAAAAUCCACAUUUUUAAAAGUCUUAUAACUUUUUAUUUUUGUCCUCACUGGCCUCCAAGUUUUCUAGGAUGAUGCAAUGUCCAGCCAUCAACACAUUUGUGAAGGAAUUUUUAUUAGGGCCCGAGCCAGCUGCAGAGCAGCCGGGCGUAGGCCCUGUUAUUCCUGUAGGGGUUUUUCUUUGUUAGGGCCCGAGCGUAGCUGCUAAGCAGCUGCGAGAGCCCUCUUGUUCCUGCAUGUUUCCUUCUUUUUAGGGCCCGAGCGUAGCUGCUAAGCAGCUGCGAGAGCCCUAUUAUUCCCCAAGUGGUUUUUCUUUGUUUCUUUCUUUCUUCUUUUUCCUCCCCUUUGAACUGGAAAAUGGCCCACUUCCCACUGGCGAAAACUCAUGAAAUUUGGCAGGAUGACCGGGCCUGGUGAAAAAUUUGAUAUUCCGAAGUCGCCCAAACAAGAAAAUGCAAAAUGGCUCCAUAGCGCCCCCUAAGGUGAAAAUUCACACUAUUGACUGUCACGCCUUUACGCUUUGUCAAAAUGACACAAAAAUUGACACACAUAUGUAUCUCAAUAAGAUCUACAAAAAAGUCAGUGCGGGCGUAUCUGUCAAAUGUACGGUUAAAGGGUUAUUUCGCAUUUUUUGCCGAUCCGCACACAUUGGAAUUUCGCUAACUCCUCCGAAGGCUUUCGUUCCACCGGCACCACAUUUGCUCAGGCCAAUCUACACCCCAUGGCCAUUAAAAGUUAUUCAAAUCAUGACGCUGCACCCCACGGUUUAGGUUCUAGGGGGCGCCAAAGAUAACCCUAAAAUCCACAUAUUUAAAAGUCUUAUAACUUUUUAUUUUUGCCCUCACUGGCCUCCAAGUUUUCUAGGAUGAUGCAAUGUCCAGCCAUCAACACAUUUGUGAAGGAAUUUUUACUUCCCAAAAGAGCGCCCCCCCAUGGCAGGAGAAAAAAGUCAAUUUUUUCUUGUCCCGUAAGGUGAAAAUACACAUUGUUGAGUGUCACGCCUGUACGCUUUGUCAAAAUGACACAAAAAUUGACACACACAUGUAUCUCAAUAAGAUCUACAAAAAAGUCCGUGAGCGCGUAUCUGUCAAAUGUAAGGUUAAAGGGUUAUUCCGCAUUUUUUGCCGAUUCGCACACAUUGGAAUUUCGCUAACUCCUCCGAAGGCUUUCGUUCCACCGGCACCACAUUUGCUCAGGCCAAAUUACACCCCAUGGCCAUUAAAAGUUAUUCAAAUCAUGACGCUGCACCCCACGGUUUACGUUCUAGGGGGCGCCAAAGAUAACCCAAAAAUCCACAUUUUUAAAAGUCUUAUAACUUUUUAUUUUUGUCCUCACUGGCCUCCAAGUUUUCUAGGAUGAUGCAAUGUCCAGCCAUCAACACAUUUGUGAAGGAAUUUUUACUCCCUAAAAGAGCGCCCCCCCAUGGCAGGAGAAAAAAGUCCAUUUUUUCUUGUCCCCUAAGGUGAAAAUACACAUUGUUGACUGUCACGCCUGUACGCUUUGGCAAAAUGACACAAAAAUUGACAAUCAUGUGUAUCUCAAUUAGAUCUACGAAAAAGUCAAAGAGCGCGUAUCUGUAUAAUGUACGGUAAAAGGGCUAUUUUGCAUUUUUUGCCGAUUCGCACACAUUGGAAUUUCGCUAACUCCUCCUAAGGCUUUCGUCCCACUGACACCAAAUUUGCUCAGGCCAAUCUACACUCCAUGGCCAUUCAAAGUUGUAAAAAUCAUGACGCUGCACCCCACGGUUUACGUUUUAGGGGGCGCCAAAGAUGACCCAAAUAUACAUUACAGUAGACAAAGUAGUUUUGCCCACUGAGUGGCGCCAAAGGGACUUGUCUGUGGAGUCUGUGAGUCACUAUUGGCCGUUUUUGACUACUUUAGAUUUUACCUUUAUAUUUCCUCUUACAAAAUUUUUACCUUGCCUUGCCUGGUAUCAUUUUUUUCAGCACAACCUCACCUGUGUCAAUUUACAGUUAUUUUAUCAUUUUGACAUACUAUAUUUACACAUUGGACCCAAAUUCACACACAAAACAUAAAAUCCGAGUGGAAAAAAGUAACGUUUUUACUGUGAAAACCACAAAUAUGUGUGAUGAACUGUUUUUAAAACUUAAACUUCAAAUAAAAAUUGUAAACUUCAAAACAUAUGCAAAUUUUUAACAAAGAACAUAGUAAUUUACCUCUAUUUACAUCAAAAUGCAGGCAAUGGCCCAGGUGUUCUUUGUAAAAUUAUUUACAAAACACUGUAUAGUCUCACAAAUGUCACUUUUUAUUUAUGCCACUACAAAAAAACAUGAUGUAAAUGAUGCAUGAUGUAAAACAUGAUGUAAAAAACUUGUGUAGAUCCUCCUCUAUGUUAGUCCAUGUGUAAUUUUUCCAUAAUUCUUUGUUUUUUGCAGCAUUUUUGUUAGUGUAACUGCAGAUUGUGCUGACAGUGUCUAUGGCACAAAAAAAAAAAAAACUGAAAAUGCCUCAACAUGAACCCCUGGUGGUCUCUGAGGGUGAAACCUGCUAACUGCUGCAGCUCUGUCAGCUUCAGUCUCCCAUGCAGAGCUCGGAGCGCAUGUGUGGCUCUGCACCCUUAGCAGCGUUGCUAACUCCUCAGUAAGGAAAGCCUGCUUCAUGUCAGAGUCUCUAAACUCCAGAAGAAGUCGAUAAAAGUCACUUUCUUUCUAAAAAAAAGUCGUUAGGGGGUCUGAAAAGUCAUUGAAUCUAACAACAAAGUCGCUAGGUUUGCAACUACGUGUCCCAGACUGCAUCCCUGCUGAGAGUCCCUCCCUCCCUUCUCAUAUUGCAGGAAGAACGUAAGCGCCCGCCCCUUGUCAAUCAGUCACCAUAUAAUUUUGGAUUGGUUGUUGUGGUGAAGUUUUCCACCAAUAGGAGAGAUGUUGUGGUGUGCUUUUUUUUUCCUUUGGCAAGCCUUUUCCGCCUGUAAGACCUGUCGCUAAUGUCUGCAUGCUAUGUUUUCCUGUCUCAUACAGCGCGAUCGAGCGCCGACCGUGAUCAAAAUAAGCAGAAAACAAGUAUCGCGGACAUAAUUUAUCAUAACUCUGGUUUUAUUUGGCCUAUCAACACAAUUUAAAAACUGGUAUAUAGGUUGAGGUCAUCACUUUUGAGAUAAGUUGAAACGGAGAGUCAACGAGGCUCCGUCUUGCAGCUACAUCCGGUUAAAUAUGUCAUGUGACUUGAACGCACACACACACACACACACAGACACACACACACACGCACACACACACACUCAGAGUCUGGUUUUUAGCACCUGCAAAAACAUGCUAUUUACAUAUUUGACAAGAAUGCAGAGGCUCCUUUUGCCCCUGAAAAAAAUCAAAUUUCAAACACAACUUGACUGGUCAUUUCUCCAAAAGACAACCAUGAAGCUCCAUCCAAACCUGAAGCAGGCAGUUGGUGCAUGUGUACAGUAACCUGAGGGGAGUGAGGUGAGUGCUUCUGAGGAGAACAUGAGCAGUGAAGAUUCACCUUAGAGCUAGAACAGAGACGUGCACAUGAUUAUACAGGGGCAGGGGCUCAAGUUUUUUCCAGUUGUUUAUACAAUAUGGAAAUUAAUGUGAAAUUAAAAAACAAAGUAUUAAUAGAAAGGUAAUGACUGUCCUGUGUAGGUGACAGUGAUAUCCAAUAGGCUAGGCACUCACGAGGCUGGCUGUGGCAAGUGUAAGUGAAAGCAACACGCACUGGCAGGAAGAACAGCAAACGCCGAUGAAGGAAAAGGGUCUUUGCAGUGAUGGGCGUUACCAGAGAGGGCGAUGGCCAGAGGACGCGAAUGGGACGGGGAGGCGGUCGCGCUGGGGGCGGCGCGACGCGGCUCGGGCCCGACAGUGCCCCACCGGGGCCCUAGUGUUAUUAGGGCCCGAGCCAGCUGCAGAGCAGCCGGGCGUAGGCCCUAUUAUUCCCCAAGUGGUUUUUCUUUGUUUCUUUCUUUCUUUCUUUCUUUAGGGCCCGAGCGUAGCUGCUAAGCAGCUGCGAGAGCCCUCUUGUUAGGGCCCGAGCCAGCUGCAGAGCAGCCGGGCGUAGGCCCUGUUAUUCCUGUAGGGGUUUUUCUUUGUUUCUUUCUUUCUUCUUUUUCCUCCCCUUUGAACUGGAAAAUGGCCCACUUCCCACUGGCGAAAACUCAGGAAAUUUGGCAGGACGACCGGGCCUGGUGAAAAAUUUGAUAUUCCGAAGUCGCCCAAACAAGAAAAUGCAAAAUGGCUCCAUAGCGCCCCCUAAGGUGAAAAUUCACACUAUUGACUGUCACGCCUGUACGCUUUGUCAAAAUGACACAAAAAUUGACACACACAUGUAUCUCAAUAAGAUCUACAAAAAAGUCAGUGCGGGCGUAUCUGUCAAAUGUACGGUUAAAGGGUUAUUUCGCAUUUUUUGCCGAUCCGCACACAUUGGAAUUUCGCUAACUCCUCCGAAGGCUUUCGUUCCACCGGCACCACAUUUGCUCAGGCCAAUCUACACCCCGUGGCCAUUAAAAGUUAUCAAAAUCAUGACGCUGCACCCCAAGGUUUAGGUUCUAGGGGGCGCCAAAGAUAACACUAAAAUCCACAUAUUUAAAAGUCUUAUAACUUUUUAUUUUUGUCCUCACUGGCCUCCAAGUUUUCUAGGAUGAUGCAAUGUCCAGCCAUCAACACAUUUGUGAAGGAAUUUUUACUCCCCAAAAGAGCGCCCCCCCAUGGCAGGAGAAAAAAGUCCAUUUUUUCUUGUCCCCUAAGGUGAAAAUACACAUUGUUGAGUGUCACGCCUCUACGCUUUGUCAAAAUGACACAAAAAUUGACACACACAUGUAACUCAAUAAGAUCUACGAAAAAGUCAAUGCGCGCGUAUCUGUCAAAUGUACGGUUAAAGGGUUAUUCUGCAUUUUUUGCCGAUCCGCACACAUUGGAAUUUCGCUAACUCCUCCGAAGGCUUUCGUUCCACCGGCACCACAUUUGCUCAGGCCAAUCUACACCCCAUGGCCAUUAAAAGUUAUUCAAAUCAUGAUGCUGCACCCCAUGGUUUAGGUUCUAGGGGGCGCCAAAAAUAACCCAAAAAUCCACAUUCUUAAAUGUUUUAUAACUUUUUAUUUUUGUCCUCACUGGCCUCCAAGUUUUCUAGGAUGAUGCAAUGUCCAGCCAUCAACACAUUUGUGAAGGAAUUUUUACUCCCCAAAAGAGCGCCCCCCCAUGGUAGGAGAAAAAAGUCAAUUUUUUCUUGUCCCCUUACAUGAAAAUACACAUUGUUGAGUGUCACGCCUGAACGCUUUGUCAUAUUGACACAAAAAUUGACAAUCAUGUGUAUCUCAAUUAGAUCUACGAAAAAGUCAAAGAGCGCGUAUCUGUAUAAUGUACGGUUAAAGGGCUAUUUUGCAUUUUUUGCCGAUUUGCACACAUUGGAAUGUGGCUAUCUCCUCCUAAGGCUUUCGUCCCACCGAUACCAAAUUUGCUCAGGGCAAUCUACACCCCAUGCCCAUUCAAAGUUGUAAAAAUCAUGACGCUGCACCCCACGGUUUACGUUCUAGGGGGCGCCAAAGAUGACCCAAAAAUCCACAUUCUUAAAAGUCAUUUUGGCCACUGCAGGAGUACAGAGUACUGCAGUUCUAGGGGGCGCCAAAGAUGACCCAAAAAUCCACAUUCUUAAAAGUCUUUUUAGCCACUGCAGGAGUACAGAGUACUGCAGGAUACACACACAUAUACACACACGCCAACAUACACACACACACACACACACACACAGACACACACACACACUCAGAGUCUGUUUUUUAGCACCUGCAAAAACAUGCUGUUUACAUAUUUGACAAGAAUGCAGAGGCUUCCUUUUGCCCCUGAAAAAAAUCAAAUUUCAAACACAACUUGACUGUUCAUUUCUCCAAAAGACAACCAUGAAGCUCCAUUUCAAACCUGAAGCAGAUAGUUGGUGUAUGUGUACAGUAACCUGAGGGGAGUGAGGUGACUAUUUCUGAGGAGAACAUGAGCAGUGAAGAUUCACCUUGGAGCUAGAACAGGGACGUGCACAUGAUUAUACAGGGGCAGGGGCUCAAGUUUUUUCCAGUCAUUUAUACAAUAUGGAAAUUAAUGUGAAAUUAAACCACAAAUAUGUGUGAUGAACUGUUUUUAAAACUUAAACUUCAAAUAAAAAUUGUAAACUUCAAAACAUAUGCAAAUUUUUAACAAAGAACAUAGUAAUUUACCUCUAUUUACAUCAAAAUGCAGGCAAUGGCCCAGGCGUUCUUUGUAAAAUUAUUUACAAAACACUGUAUAGUCUCACAAAUGUCACUUUUUAUUUAUGCCACUACAAAAAAACAUGAUGUAAAUGAUGCAUGAUGUAAAACAUGAUGUAAAAAACUUGUGUAGAUCCUCCUCUAUGUCAGUCCAUGUGUAAUUUUUCCAUAAUUCUUUGUUUUUUGCAGCAUUUUUGUUAGUGUAACUGCAGAUUGUGCUGACAGUGUCUAUGGCACAAAAAAGGAAAAAAUUAAAAUGCCUCAACAUGAACCCCUGGUGGUCUCUGAGGGUGAAACCUGCUAACUGCUGCAGCUCUGUCAGCUUCAGUCUCCCAUGCAGAGCUCUGAGCGCAUGUGUGGCUCUGCACCCUUAGCAGCGUUGCUAACUCCUCAGUAAGGAAAGCCUGCUUCAUGUCAGAGUCUCUAAACUCCAGAAGAAGUCGAUAAAAGUCCCUUUCUUUCUAAAAAAAAGUCGUUAGGGGGUCUGAAAAGUCAUUGAAUCUAACAACAAAGUCGCUAGGUUUGCAACUACGUGUCCCAGACUGCAUCCCUGCUGAGAGUCCCUCCCUCCCUUCUCAUGUUGCAGGAAGAACGUAAGCGCCCGCCCCUUGUCAUUCAGUCACCAUAUAAUUUUGGAUUGGUUGUUGUGGUGAAGUUUUCCACCAAUAGGAGAGAUGUUGUGGUGUGUUUUUUUUUUCUUUUGGCAAGCCUUUUCCGCCUGUAAGACCUGUCGCUAAUGUCUGCAUGCUAUGUUUUCCUGUCUCAUACAGCGCGAUCGAGCGCCGAACGUGAUCAAAAUAAGCAGAAAAAAAGUAUCGCGGACAUAAUUUAUCAUAACUCUGGUUUUAUUUGGCCUAUCAACACAAUUUAAAAACUGGUAUAUAGGUUGAGGUCCUCACUUUUGAGAUAAGUUGAAACGGAGAGUCAACGAGGCUCCGUCUUGCAGCUACAUCCGGUUAAAUAUGUCAUGUGACUUGAACGCACACACAGACACACACACACGCACACACACACACACACACACACACACACACACACACACACACACACACACACUCAGAGUCUGGUUUUUAGCACCUGCAAAAACAUGCUAUUUACAUAUUUGACAAGAAUGCAGAGGCUCCUUUUGCCCCUGAAAAAAAUCAAAUUUCAAACACAACUUGACUGGUCAUUUCUCCAAAAGACAACCAUGAAGCUCCAUCCAAACCUGAAGCAGGCAGUUGGUGCAUGUGUACAAUAACCUGAGGGGAGUGAGGUGAGUGCUUCUGAGGAGAACAUGAGCAGUGAAGAUUCACCUUGGUGCUAGAACAGAGACAUGCACAUGAUUAUACAGGGGCAGGGGCUCAAGUUUUUUCCAGUCGUUUAUACAAUAUGGAAAUUAAUGUGAAAUUAAAACACAAAGUAUUAAUAGAAAGGUAAUGACUGUCCUGUGUAGGUGACAGUGAUAUCGAAUAGGCUAGGCACUCACGAGGCUGGCUGUGGCAAGUGUAAGUGAAAGCAACACGCACUGGCAGGAAGAACAGCAAACGCCGAUGAAGGAAAAGGGUCUUUGCAGUGAUGGGCGUUACCAGAGAGGGCGAUGGCCAGAGGACACAAAUGGGACGGGGAGGCAGCACGUUGGGGGGGGGGGGGGGGGGGCUCGGGCCCGCCAGUGCCCCAACGGGGUCCUAGUUAUCUUAUUAGCAUAGUAAUCCAUUGAUAUUAUUGCUUACCAGGACAUGGGUAUGAACAUUAUAAAGGGAACUUUAAAUGAUUUCUAAGAGUCUAAAAUACACAGGGAUAAUAGAACUUGUUGUAAAAUACUUUGAGGUCCUAAAUUUAAAAAGCUGGCUCUGUGGUUGGAUUCAAGUUGGACUCAGUGUAGGAUGUGGUGGAGAGAUGUACGCUGAGGAAGGUGGAGACUAUUUUAAAGAACAUGGAUUACCCACUUCAUAACACCUUGAUGGACCAAAGGGCCUAAGGUGGUGGACGGCUCCUCUCUCCUCGCUGCAGGACAAAAAGAUUCAGAAGAUCUUUUGUACCCACAGCCAUCAGACUUUACAAUUCUUAAUAGCAGAUGACUUUUUGAGAUAUGACAAAUUUCCCUUCAGGGAAAUAAUAAAGUUCUCCUUACCUUAAAUACAUUUUUAAUAAACUCGUAUGAGCACUUUGGAUUUUUAGUUCUUAUUAAUUUGAUUGAUGGGUUAUCAAACAGGGCAAUUGCCAAUUCCAGGAUUUGACUCAACUUGGCUUUUGAUAAAUGUAUAGUUAAGGAUAGCCAUAUGGUGGGUUAAGCAAAAGCACAUAAUAAUGACAUUAGCUUUGGGUGGAUGUUGGUUCAUUUUGUUUCUCUUAUAAAAAAUGAUUCAUGUUUGUUUUCAUUGUGUCUUACAGGUAUCGUGUCCAGUCUCCCCACUCU